rnacentral:lncRNA from 1 species
UAUAUAUAUAUAUAUAUACACACACACACACAGGGCCCUUCCAAUGAGGGAUCCCUUUUUUUGUUUAUUUCUAAGGAUAGAUCAUUUGACGAACUUUUCGAUCACAAAAUAAAAUCUCCACCGUUCCGUUCGUUGGGCUAUAUGAGUAGAUCAUUUCUACAAAUUUUCAGAAAACUUGAUGAUCGUUAAGUCAUCCAAAUGAGGGAUUUAUUUUUAAUAAUCUUGAACGGUGUAGGUUUGACAUAAGUGUUAAGUUUUUUGUUUUAAUCUCAGCCAUCAAAGCCCAUUAAAAAACAGAUAUAAUGGUUUGGGUCUCUCCCUAAAAAUGACAAAAAAUAGGGAUCCCUCGAUGGAAGGGUCAUGUAUAUAUAUAGACACACACACUUUAAAUACAAAGUUGUUACAGCUGCUCUCGAGUUUUGAUUAAUGAAACUGUCGAAUACAAUUUGGGGAGGGGGGGGGGAGGACAUAGAGCCUAAACCCCUGAUUACAAAGAUCUGAAAUAAUAUCAGAAAUCCCUAUAAUAAACAUAUACUCAACGAGACACCAACUAGCAAAGAGUACUACUCUAAUGAUGACAUACUGGAAAGAUCUAUAGAUAUGUAACACGCUUACACAUCCUAAUGUCAAAUAAUUUAGCUUUCCAACUAUGUUGCCGCCGGAAGUUAGAUCCAACGACACUUGACGAACCCUACCAGUAGACGGCAAUGACAAUUUAACAAAGCAAUAAACUAGUUGCCUACCUAGAGCAGUCAAGACAGUUUGAGUGCACACACCGGACGAAGCCCAAUCAACCUUACAAAACUAAUAUAGCUACUUUUUUCUCGCAUAAUGCGCAACCAAACUAAAUAACAUAAAUAAAUAAAAACAUUAAAAAGAUAAUUAGCAAAAUUCAGGUCCAAAAAUGGAGCUCAAACCCAUGCAACAAACCAAGAGGUAAGGAAGCCAUAACACGUGUGUAAGACCCAGUCCAGAUCUAACCCAGCCACCACCGAUGGUUCUCUCUCCCCGUCGUCCCACCACCAACAUCGAUCCGCCACCACUAGCGUUUCUAGAUUCUGAUUAUCCCAAGACACCGCUCAGACGGCCAUUCCACCCUGAUCAAAACCACAAGUCGCUCCAACCCAGAUUAGAGCACCCAUCAACACCGCCCUCUGAAUAACCAGCUUUUGAACCGUUGCCACCAAUCCAGCAGCCUCAAACCACCUUCCUGCCUCCUCUCUCUCGCCCCAACCGGGUGUUGAGACACAAUUGACUCAUGUAAAUGUGCCCAAAACUAUGAAUUUUGUCUUGUGUUUACAUGUGAAUUUAUUACCAUUAAUCCAUUUUCUUGUGUUUGUAGAAAAUAAUGGAAUGAGAGUGAAGCACCUAAAUUAUGCCUUGAAAGUGAAGGAUUCAAAGCUAGGAGCAAAAGACAUGGAAUUUAGGUAAGAAAACAAAAACCAAGAUUUUCCGGCAAGACUCUCCCGCGAGCCGCCACUCAUGGGGGCCUUUCUUCCAUUCAUGGAGGAGCAUGGUGGUGCGACUAACAUUUGAAUUCAAAGCAUCUUUACCCCCAUUUUGUGUUUUUGGAAUGUUGCACCACAUGGAGCUAAAAUGGGGACCUAUUGUGUAAAAGCAUCUCAAAACCUUGGUCCCCAAAAAGCAAGCUGAUUUUGAGAGUGUGUGGAGACCAAUUCCUCACAACACAUUGGGAGCCAUCUUCAUCUCUUUCAUCUCCAAGAUCCACUUUUCUCCCUACACCACCACAACACCAUUUCCACCACUAAAUCUCCAUCUCCACCUUCAUAACCACUAGGGUUGCGUUCGGGUCGGUCCGGGCCGAAAAAAAUCAAAACCGAGCCCAAACUCGAAAGUUUCGGGUCGGGUCGGGCCGGUUUUUUUAUCUCUAGAAACCGACCAAUUCGGGCCUUUUCUGGGCCGGGCCGGGUUUCCGGGUUUUCGGGUUGUAAAAAAAUAGUAUAUGCACUCAUGUUCAAAAAUCAAAACUGAACAGCAGUGCCUAACAACAGUGCCCAGUUUCUUUCUGUUUGCAAAUUCACUUUCAUAAACAUUGCUAAAACAUAUCAUAAACUCAUAAAGACAUGCUGCAAACUUACAAAGUCACAAACUCACAAAACACAAAGUCAUCACAAAGUCUUAAAAGUUAAACACAAAGUCAUGAAGUUUGAAACACAAUUACACAAAGUCUGAAACAGUGCAACUGUCAAACUGCAAAUCACAUACACAAACCACGAAUUAUCAUAAACUAAAGUUCAUAACAACAUCAAGUCAUCAAUUAUUAAAAUUUGAAUUAAUUACUGGUCAUUCCAUUAACUUUCAUGCACUCGACAGUUUACUCCAUUAACUUUCAAUUUCAAUCGAUUACUCCAUUAACUAUCCAAUGUCACACAAUUAGGUCCAUCCGUUAAGUGGCCGUCCAAAUCAGUGGUUAAGUUGCUGACUGGACAUAUUUUUCAACUGAAAAUUCCAUUUAACACCCUCCCUCUCUCCCUUCUUAAUCUCUUCAAUCUCUUCUCUCUCCUCCUUCACCUCCUCCGCAACCACAACGCCACCACAUCACCAGUUGGACCUUCAACAACACCGCAACAACAAUACCAGCAACCAACCAACCACACCACCAGCAACCAACCACAUUAACACCGUAAUCAAACACACUGCAACCAACCACACCACCAGUAGCUCAACCCGCAGUAGCUCAACAUCUCUCUCCCGACGCCAAAAACUCAAACCCACAUACCUCGCAUCUCUCUCCCGAAGCCCAAAACUCAAACCCUCAUAACAAUCUUCUCCCUUCGCCGCCAACCAAACCCUAAACAACACCAUCUAUGAAGCCCUUCCGUUUUCCGCUUCAAACCCGUGCUAGACUUGAAAUCUCAACCACUUCGAAUCCCCAGCCAACAACCUCUUCUCACUCGCCUCCCCUUCCUCUAUAUGAAAUUGAAGCCAUUUGUUUGAUUGGAAACAUAUUUGGGGAUUGGGGAUUUCAAUCCCUAAAAUUUCAGAUUUGGGAAUUGGAAGUGUUGAACGGUGAGCCACCAGAGGGCAUUGGUGCGGUUGACAGCCUAAGGUGGGACACCAGCGCGUUGGGGAUGGUGAGGAGGAGGGUGGUGUUGGAGUAGAGGAAGGCGCGGAUGAGGUUGGGGUCAGAGACGUCAAGGUGGAGGGCGGCGAGGCUGAGAGAAGUGAUGGUCAAGGCCACGCGCUCUGGUAGCGGAGGGGUGGGGCAGGUGGUGACGGUGGAGGCGGAAUAGGUGACGCUGAUGGUGAUGGAUGAAUGGUGAUGGAUGAGGCGGCAUCCGGCGAGGAAGAUGAGGGUGAUGAGAGAAACGGCGGAGAGAGAAAAGUGGGAAGCCAUGGCUGGCUGAUGGGUUUUAAAUGUGUGUGUGUGUGUGAGAGAGAGAGAGAGAGAGAGAGAGAGAGAGAGAGAGAGAGAGAGAGAGAGAGAGAGAGAGAGAGAGGAGGUAGGUAGUAGUAGUAGUAGUAGUAGUAGUAGUAGUANNNNNNNNNNNNNNNNNNNNUUUCGGUUGAAAAAUAUGUCCAGUCAGCAACUUAACCACUGAUUUGAACGGCCAUUUAACGGAUGGACCUAAUUGUGUGACAUUGGAUAGUUAAUGGAGUAAUCGAUUGAAAUUGAAAGUUAAUGGAGUAAACUGUCGAGCGCAUGAAAGUUAAUGGAGUGACCAGUAAUUUCUCCUUAAAAUUUAAAGCUGAAUUGCUGCAGUUGGUUUUCCUCGAUCUCUUUUGGGGUUUCGGUGGCAGGGAUGUCAUGGUAGAUGGAGUUACUGCAGCUGGUUCUUUUGUUACAGGGAUGAGGGAAUUUUCAGCUGGAGUAGAUUCAGAAUCAACCUCCACCAACUUCACAUCUUGAUCCUCCGAAUCCGAGUUCGAAUUGGAUUCGAGUUCGAAACUUUUUGAUUCUGUUUCGACUGUGUUUCCCAUAGACCAAUCCAUGGGGAAGACUGAGAGUGAUUGACUGAUGGAUUCGUCUGGGUUUGAUUCAAAGACUGAGAGAGAGAGGGCUGAGAGGCGAGUGAAUGAGAGAUUGAGAGUGAGAGAGGCGACAGAUUAGGCCAUUAGGGUUUUUUUAGGCUUUAUAUGCUGCAUCGGAUUUGCGACACGUAGCCUCAGAAAUUUUAAGUUCGGGUUUUCGGUCCGGGUCGGGUCGUCGCAGACGAAACCCGGCCCGAUCCGGAAUUUUCAAAAUCGGUCCGGGUUUAGCCAGACUCGUUGUUUUAUGUGUCAAAACCCGACCCAAUCGGGUCGGUUUCAGGCCAAACCGGUCCAGGUUUUCGGGUUUUGGUUUUAAAAAAACAGCCCUAAUAACCACCAUUUCCGUUACCUAGCUUUCACCACCACACAUCUCACCUAGAGCCUCAAUUUCACCACUCAUAUAUCCUAAAGUGAUUGGAGUAAGGAGGAGAAGAAACCACCAUUCAUGACAUUGGAGACCCAUCUCCACCACCACUUCCAUCUUCAUCAAUAGUCAUCUCUUACUCUCUACUCUUACUAUUGAUGUAUUAUUGGAUGUUGAAUUUUUUUUUCUCUAGUUAUGAGUGAGUAGUGAAUUGUUGGGACUAUAGUUGAAACCCCUAACCAAUCUUGUAUGAAAGUGAUGUUAUACUAUGCUUGAUGCGAUUUUCCAAUACCAUCUUCACGUACAUGUUUAUUCAAGAGUUGAAUGCAUUUACUUAAGUCUACUCAAUUUAAGUUGAUGUGUUUGCCAUGUCAUGGAAUUUUUCUAGGAGAUUGAGUACCUUUUAGCAAGAGAAAGCAUGAAAGCAAACCAUGUGUGCAUGUGAGGUAGUGAGUUAGAAUCACCUAGACCUAGGAUUGGUUUGCUUGCUUGGUUAUAUAAACUUUGAUCUUUAUGAAUCUAGGAACAUUGAAUUCAGACUUACCCGGUAAUAGAAUGUGUUCUUAGGUAGUCAAUUCUACACUUAACCGGUUAGAAUUGAUAACAUCAAAGAAGUUUAAGCCUUAGUAGUCUUAACCGGAUGCUAAGAAGGUAAUUGGUCGGGUAUUGGGAUUGAAUUACUUGUAGCUUGAUCAUCAAUGCAUGCAAGGGAGGCUAUGGUGGACAACCUUAAGAUCUAACUCCCAUCCAUUUGUCAACAACUGGCAUAGUUUAGCUUUGUUUAUUUUACUUGUUUUAGUAGCUUUUAUUUGUUCCAGACCAAAUCAAAUCAAAAUCAAUCACCACAUAUUUGCAUAUACCCAUCAUUAACUUUGAUUCCCUUUUGAGUCAUUGUUUGUGAAUGUACAUUUGCAUAUUCUUCUAUCUUACCUUAGGACUCCUCUCGCUAGCUAGAGCAGGAUUUCCCAAUCCCUUGGGUUCGACAACCCCUACUCUAAACUCCACUAUUCUAUAUAUUACUUGCUCUUUAUAUUUGGGGGGUGGAUUUAAUGCUAACACGGGGCCAACAAUAGAUGCGGCACCGCCCUGGUUGAGAGAAACAUACUGAUCCAUUAGUAACACCCGUCCGAUGACAACGUCGAUGGACCCACCGUCAGAUGGAACCCAACCCUAGCGCCGCACGCUCUCUCUCUCUCUCUCUCUCUCUUAUUUCUGGAACCCAACCCUAGCGCCGCACGCUCUCUCUCUCUCUCUCUUAUUUACUCGUUAAUAUGAAUAUUUUGUAGUUAAGGGGGAGAAUAUUACUAGUAAUUACUUUCCUAUUAGCUAGGACUCUGUAUAUUCUCAAACCUUGUCUUCAGCUUCUCCUUCUUCUGUCUUGUCGGCAUUUGCUUUUUGAAGAAGAAUUUGUUAUGUAAGAAUUUGUUAUUUGAAGAAGAAGAAGAAGAACGAAAGAGAUUUGGCCCUUAAUUUGUUGUUUGGAUAUGGAGCUAGGGAACGUAGGUUCCACAUCUACUCCCGGUGAUGUCAUUGUUGUUCAUAACUAUAACAUGGGACUAUAUUCGUUCAACAAUCAGGUUACUUGUAACUAUUGUAAAAAUUCUAGUCACUACAAGAGUCGGUGCACCAAGCUAAUUAAUGAUGAGACGUAAUCUCAAAUGGAAUGGUGGUAACAAUAAUCACAAAGGCAAAGGCAUCAAUUCAAUUGGUGCAACAGGAGCAAGAACUAGAUUUCUAUGGCCCCGAGUUCAUACUAAGGGUAUUGUUUCCUUAACUCAAGAGUAACGAGGUAAACUUGGUGAUGCUUUACAUGUUAUUGGCUUUACUGGUAAUAAUACAUGAAUAAUUGAUUCCAUGAUAUGACCUAUGAUAAGUCUUUGUUGAGUUGUCCUUUGAUCCCCAUCUAUAACACUAGUCUCUAAUCCUAAUGGUGAGUCUUUUCCAGUCUUAGAGAUUGGGUCUGUCUAGGGGUUACACACUAUUACUCUUCAUAAUGUUCUCUUUGUUUAAUCAUCUCUUGUAUGUGUCCCAGUUAAAUGCACAAAAUAAAUGUUCAAUAACCUUUUAUCCUAUCAUUCUUAUCUUAUCUCCUAAUAAAGCUUAUAUAAUUUUUUAUUUUUUGAUCAAAAAGAGCAACUGCAUUUAUAGAUUGUGAAAUACUAUAUCAAAGAGUAUGAAGUGGCCCUAUUAAGCCCUACACAACUAAAGAAAGAGUAUCGCACUCCAUUACAAAGACUCAAAAACUCAAGUCGUUCACUAAAAUAGGAUGCAACCACUCUCGUACCAUCUUCCACUAAUAAAUGGGAAAAGGUAGAGAGAGCUGUAAUUCAUGGGAAAAUAACCCCAACGAAAUGACUGAAAUGAAAACAAAAACGUAUUAACAUUUUAGCCUCAUCCACGUAUGCUCCAUCCAGACUGAGAUCCUCCUUAUUAGAAUCAAGCUCCAUAAAAAUGACUCUAUGUUGCACGGACACGGACACUGACACGGCGACAUGACACAGUGUGACACGUCGACACGGAAAAUCCAAAAAAUCUAAGAUCCAACACGGCAAAUAAUUAAUACAUUUAUGUAUUUUAAUAUAUAAAAAAUAUAUACUAAAAACAUGAAUUCGAGACCAUAUGCGGUUAUCAGCAAAGAGACAUUACAAUUAAAUGGAGAUUAGAAAACCCGGUAACUAAUUUGAAGUGGAAAAGGGAGAUGAAGAGUAGAAAAGGGAGAUUAAUUUAUCAGCAAAGAGACGCUGCAAUUGAAUGGAGAUUAGGAAACCCGGUGACUAAUUUGAAGUAGAAAAUGGAGCUGAAGGAAGAGAGGAAGAGUGGAAAAUGGUGAUUAAGUUGCAGUUUACAAACCAGAUCAGAUUAUUAGAGUUUAACCAUUGGCUAUGAGGGAUAUAUCAUAUAUCAACACUCUUUUAUUCUUUUUUUCGUCUUUUUGCUGCUUAGAGGCUGUGAUAAUUUUUCUUUUGGGUUUAUGGUAUUUUUUUUAAUUGAAAUUACAUGGCGUGUCUAUCAAAGUGUCAGGCCGUGUCAAAAAAGUCAACAUCUUCCCGACGCGGUGUUCGGACACUCGAACACUCCGCCCUCAGAAGUGUCUGUGAAAUAUAGAAAUGACUUGAGCAUCACAUUCAAGCUCCACAUGUGUAUUCCCCGAUUACAAACAAAAAAUUUUGAAUUGUUACUGUCAACAAAAAUUUUCGAACUCCCCCACAUCAGUUUCUAUGAUUUUCAAGGGAAAAAUCUUCUAAAAUUUCAUGAUGGACUAGCCCAUAUAAUUUAUGAUUUAAUGAAAAAAUAGUAAAACACUGUAAAAAUUUUGGUAGAAAAUUCGAACAAUCUAAUUUAUUAAAGAUUGCAUUACUAUCUAUAUUUCGUAAUAACGUCAUCCAUGAUCACUUUACCUUACUCGGAAGAACAUCGAUAUCUCCUAACUGAAAAUCAAAACCCCAAAAAAGGAAACUAGUUGAGAUACUUGAUCUGUACUUUCUUUUAUUUCAUGAGCUUUUGAUCUGUACUUUCCCCAAACCGUUCAACGUGUUUCACCUUUUACAUAGAGACAAAUUUUAGAUCUUGAAUAAACCAAAUCCUACUCUGCCAUCUCCGAAUUACAAGACUUCAACUCAUUUCCCCAAAAAAUCCCCUGCAAAACCACCUCACACACCCACAUCUCCUCCCUCCAAUCACCUCCCCCCACCUCACCAACCUCACAACUCCACCAACCAUCUCCAUCUCCAUUUACACUAUACUCUGUGUAGCCCCGCAGUGGAUCACCUAACUGACAUUUCCAAUACUACCCCUCACCAGAAACAAUCAGAAAUGCACAAAUCUGUCUCAGAAAUCUAGAGACACAAACAAAGGAGUAGAAAGAAACAAAGCUUUAAAGCGUUUAGAGAUAGAGAGACUGAGAAUUAAAGAUUGGAUUUUUAUGAAGAAACCCUAAAAGCUUCCAUAAAUGACAUCCGUGUCCCCAAAGUCACGACCUUUCAAGAAGAGGCCAAGGGCUCAGAGCCUCCCGGACCAAGUCCUGAAGCAUGUUAUCCUCAAGAUGCAUCUCCACAACAACGACCUCCUCCGCUCUCCGCCCACCACUCCUCUCUCCGAACCCGACCUCUCCUCCUCCUUCCGGGCCCUCUCUCUCGACGACCCGACCCGACCCGACUCCACCUCCCUCCUCUCCGACGAACUCCUCCUCCUGAUUCUCUCCAAGCUCCCGGAAUCGCAGUACCUUCCGAACUCUUUGGUGUGUCGGCGGUGGCUUUAUCUCAACGGCAGGCUGGUGAGGAGGCUGAAGGUGUUGGAUUGGGGGUUUCUGGACUCGGGUCGGGUCUUCGCCCGGUUCCCGAAUCUGGCGGAGGUGGACAUUGUUCAUGCCUGCAUCAGGUCGCCGCGGAGUUCGGGGAUUAUUGUGACGAGGAAGGGACUGUCGGUGCAUUUGGACUCGCUGUUUAGUUCAGAAGGAUUUAUUGAAGAAAUGGAUGUUUUGAAGCAGAGUGUGGUGGACGAUGGGCUGAGAUUGAUAGCUAAUUCGUAUCGGAAUUUGAGGAGGGUUGCGGUGAUAGGCGCCGGGGUGGAUGGGCUGUUGAGUGUGGCGGAGGAGUGUGAGAUGCUGCAGGAGCUGGAGCUGCAUUGCUGUGGGGACAUGGCGCUGAGGGGGGUUAGUGGGUUUAGGAAUUUGCAGAUUGUGAAGCUGAUUGGGUGUGUUGAUGGGUUUUACAGCGCGCAGAUAACGGAUAUUGGGUUGACUAUUUUGGCUCAGGGGUGCAGGAGGUUGGUGAAGCUUGAGCUUUUUGGGUGUGAGGGGAGCUAUGAUGGGAUUAAGGCGAUCGGGCAGUGUUGCCAGAUGCUUGAGGAGUUGAGUUUGAGUGAUCAUAGGAUGGAUGGCGGGUGGUUGGCUGCGUUGCAGUUUUGUGGGAAUUUGAAGACCUUGAGGCUUGAGUCUUGCCGGGGGAUUGACUCGAGCCCUGGCCCGGAUGAGUAUUUGGGGUCUUGUGGGACGAUUGAGGAGUUGCAUUUGCUGCGGUGUCAGGUGCGGGAUAAGGAUGGUAUGAGAGCAUUGUUCUCUGUUUGUGAAGGUGUGAAAGAACUUGUUCUGCGGGAUUGUUGGGGAUUGGUGGAUGAAGUGUUUGGCUUUGCAAAUAUUUGUAGGUAUGAGUCUUUUUCGUAUGCAUUUAUCUCUGUUUGUUGUCUGCUUCAAAAUGCACUCAGAUGUAUAUUAAUAAGAAAAAUGCCCUCAAAUAAAUGGUGAAUGAUAUACACUCAACUUAAUGUUUUGAUUAUGCCCUGUUUGAUUUGUGUGCAAUUAGGUAUCAUUUCCUUUAUGAAUUUUGUGUACUACUUGCCAAUGCUGUUUGUAUUUAACAUGACUAGGAAACCAUAGUAUAGGAGAUGGUAGCAUGGCUUUACCAGAAGUCAUGUUUUUGAAAAAUUAGCUGUACCAGUUGGAAAAAUUAGUCAUCUUUAACUUGGAUCAAAGCAGUUAUAACUUAACUUUCCAAAGUACUUCAGAGCCUCUGAAGUCAAGUGCUUUAGGUAUACUAAAUAUUGAUGUUUAACUGUGAAUUGGAUCAAAGCCAUAAUAACUUUAAAGUUUCAAAGUGCUUCAGAGGUCCCAUAGUGCUACAGGUUGUAUACUCUAAAUUUAACUGUGAAUUGGAUCAAAGCAUAAUAACUUUAAAUUUUCAAACUGCUUCAAAGGUUCACCUUGUGCUAUAGGUUGUAUGAUAAGAAGUCUGGUAUCAAAUUCGGGUAUGAACUAGGAUAUGUAACUUUUUAAGAAUAAAGCAAAGUUUAAUCUUACUCUGACAGAAUGAGAUUAUAAGUAAAGAAUGUUAAUUGUGUUUUGGGUGAAGGUAUGACUCCUUAGUUUAUUGUUCUUAUCAUCAAAGGCAUGGGUGAUUGGCCUCUACUGUUGACCUGUAAGCUUUAUUGUUUCUUUCUGUACAAAGCUUGUAGUGUUGUCAUUUGCGCAAGCUAAAUCAGGUUUAGGCCUUGCCUAAGGUCAGCUUGAGGUACAAACAAGUUGAGUGUGAGCUCAUCUUGGCCCAUUGUUCGAACCCUAGAGGUUUAAAUUAAGACUAGUCAGCUGUAUAUUGCCAGCUUUGUGCCUAGUUCGGAGUAGUCCAAUGAGAAGUCGGUGCAUGCCCUGUGACUUGCGACUAUCUCAAAGCAAGAGAACACCAGUUUAUCCACCAUUACCAUCCAGAAGAUAUUUAUUAAGAGUGGCCGACAUGUAAUAUAUGUUCAAAUCUUAGCAUAAAACAUACUUAUACAAGUCUUUUUCUCUACAAGCUAAAGCAAAAUUAGUGUGCAGCAAAGCUGGAACCUUUUGAACAGAUAGAGAAAUCAUAUUUUUGGUAUCCACUGUCCUUUGAAAUGCAUUUGACAAUGUUCAUAUGCAUGAUUCUGUUCGUUAACGGAACUUCCUCCAGAAUAUGCACCACAAAAGUAAGCUGUCCACAUACAAAAUGAUUAUUUAUGAUGAGAAGUUGAAACUUCUCAACAACACAUUUUUAAUGUUUAAGGAAGGAAAGGAAUCAAUCAUUAGGGACAAAAGUUUGUAGGAUUUAUCUUGAUCUAUGCAAAACAUGAAACUAAGACACUCUCACUCCAAAUAUGUUGAUUGUCAGGGUAACCAUAUAUAGAAAUUUGUGAAUAUUAACAAGAACUUUGUGGAAAAAUUGCUAGAGUUGGUUGAACGUUAUAGACGAUUUCAUAGAAAUGAACAUUUUGGAAAUUUAUUCUACACACGCACACAAACAAUGUAGGGACUUAUAGUUUCUUGAUGCCUAGAAGAAUUAAUGCUCUUUGUUUUGCUGUCUGAAAUGCCUUGAUGGAUGUUGCAGUCUAUGCCGAAUAAACAUAUUAGACAGUUUCAUAACAAUUGUUACAUCUUGAUAUAGUAACACAGGCCUAUAGUUUCCUUUUGACAUCACUUCUUGCUAAUGGAUAUAAAAACUUGUCUGGUGUUUGGCUGUGAAGACAUCAGUCUACUUUCUACCAGUUCAGACAUUUUGUCUUUCAGGUCUUCAUCCUUCAUCUUCUAGUGUUUUAAGAGUCUUGGACCAUGAAGAACCCUACAUAAACUCGUCAAACUAGUGAUUGUUUUUUUUUUUUUGCCUUCUUUCUGUUUUCCUUUUUGUGUUGUAUGUAUGACCAUUCAUCAUCUUAUUUUGAGCCAGGUUUUUCUAAGUGGUAGGUUGUAUAAAUAAGUCUAUGAUUCAAUUGCAUUGAUUGAACUGUAAGUCCUUCUUGCUUAUAAUAUUUACUUUUACUUUUGAUAGGAGAGUGAAGCUGAUAACCUUGGAAGGAUGCUCACUGUUGACAACAGGAGGUCUGGAAUCAGUACUCCUUCAUUGGAAAGAGCUUCAGGUGCUUAGAGUAGUAUCAUGUAACAAUAUAUCGGACAGUGACAUUACUCCUGCCUUGGCCACCUUAUUUUCUGUUCUUAAAGUGUUGACAUGGCGACCAAAUUCCAGAUCUCUCUUGUCAUCAAGUCUUGCUGGGACUGGAGUGGGAAUGAAAGGUGGUAGGUUUUUCAAGAGACUAAAGUCUUGACUCGGCUGCUUGUUGAUGGGACGAUUGCCUUCAAUUUAAUGAGCAUCCAGAUUAUUUAACUGUCAGGUGUUCAAUGUUGGUCCAUACACUAAAUAGGUAGAUUGUAAAUGAUCGUAUCUUAUUUAGAUGUUCGGCAUUGUGGUGAGUGAGGGUAAUUUGUUUCCUCACUUGCAUCAAGCCUUCGGAAGGGAGUUUGUCAUUGGAAUGACAUUCUAGGCUCUCCUGUUCCCACGUGUGUUUUGAGACCUACCUAUUGGCCGAGUGCAGCAUCAAGUUGUCAAGUGGCUAGUCUCGUUUGUCUAAUAUUCAGCAAGUUUAGACGGGCUAAUUUUAUCACAUUAAUUAGUCGCUAGGAGUUAGAAUAAGUUAAAUCAUGAGUACAGUUUGUUCCUUUUUCUACUUUGUUGAUCUAUGACAUAAUUGACAUGUACUGGGAAUGAAGUUCUAUCAUUUGGAAAUGUUUGAGCUCAUUUUCACUUACUAUACAUUCGAUGCUGCGUAGAUGUUUUUUUUUUCUUACUGUGUACUAUCAUACUGUCUAAUACUCAGCAAGUUAACACAUGGAUGUGUCAUAUUUAGUUGCACCGACUUGCCAUGAGUUAUAAGAGAGGAGCUGUGGUUGAAUAUAUUGUUAUGUUGUGGUAAUCUCUUCUGACUUGGCUCUGAGUUUUUUGAAUUAAUGGCCAGCAUCAGUUAAGAUCUUCUGAUAGACCUUCAGGUCAUUCAAGAGUUGAAGAUGGAACCAAUUGACAACAUUUCAGGUUCGGAAAUGAAUAAUUUGCUCCAAUUUGUUUUUUUUUUUUUUUUUUUUUUUGACUUCUACAAUUGUUUCUUAGGAGACACAGCAAAGAUGAGUCCGGAAAUGAAUAAUUUAUUUCAUUAAUUUGUCGCUUAGAAGACAGAUCAAUGAGUCAUAUUUUGAACGUGUGAAAUUAGAUGAUGGUUAAUACUUAAUUGGAUUUCAGGAAAACAAAUGCAAAACUUUCAAACAGUUUCAUGUGUCAAAUAUGUUAUCAGUAUUCAUUGGUGUAAUAUUGGAGGAAACAAAAAAAAUACAUAAUAAUUCAUAUGAAACUAAAUCACAUGCUCCAUUGCUCCUACAGCAAAUAGAGAAAUUGAUCAGCUGUUAUCUAGAAUCGCUUUUCAAGCCAUAGUGGGAGUGUCAUCACCACCACCAGCCAAGAUGUCCAGUAGAGAAUUCUGGGGCUCCAACUCCUCAUGCCAUAGUGGCAGUGUGUCGCCGGGGUAGAAAUUUCUUUUCACUCCCUCUGAAUCAAUAACAACAGUGCGGACAACACCACCACUGGCACCAUCUCGAGCAAUGGCUAGGGAAACUGCCUUGACAACCAAUGCCUCCGCUUCCUCCUGGCUCAUUCCUUCUCUCCAUGCUUGGUCAAAGAAUCCAUACAAGUAACUGGAGCCAGAUCCUCCAAUCGCAAAUGGCGCCUCAAUGACUGCCACCAAGAGGAACUCCAUAAAUCUUUCCCCCUUCGUAUUUAUCCCAGCCUCCAACAAUCAAACCACUUUGCAACAUAUUCUUGUUGCCAUAGGACAGCAGCCUGAUGAGAUUAGCAGCAACUUGGACAGUAGCAGGCUGCCCUAACUGAAUGGUGUGCUGAUGAAGAAAGUGGCUUACGUAGUCGGUAACAACCUGAGAAUCCGCAGCCGAUCCGGAACGACAAACGUAGACUUUUUCAGUGAGUUGAGUGAUUUUAUCAGAGCACCGAUUCGCAACAUAGUCACCUGUGGAAGUUCGAGAGUCUGCGCCAAGGACUACGCCGCCGUCGUAGGUGACACCAAUGAUGGUGGUGCCCAUGGAGUGAGGGGCGUUGAGAUUCAUAUCGUAUGAAUGAGACAUGCGAGGUUUUGGUUUUACUGAGAAUGAAACUGACAGAAAAAUGCUUUGUAAUUUUGUAGAAUAGAACACAAACCAUGCAUCUAUAAAUAUAGAAGAAUUAAUGUCCGAUCCUAAAAGGAUACAAAACCAAAUUGGACUGAGAUUGAUAACAAAUCUAAAUACAAAACCAAAAUGGACUGAGAUUGAAUGCGAAUUCUCACCCAAAUCUGAAAAGGAUUGCGGUGAUAUUGGUUGUUGUCUUAUUGAGUGCUGGAAAUCCAAAUUUAAGAUUCAUUCUCUUCAAAUUACUCUAAGUGCUUCAGAGGUCAUGCCGUGCUAUGCGUUUUAUCAUAAGAACUGUGGUAUCAAAUUCAUGUCUGGAGUAAAAAAAUGUGACUUCAUAAAGAUAAGAAAAGAGAUUUAAUCUCACUCUUACAAAAUGUAUGAGAGUUUAAGUACAGAAUGUUGCUUCUCUUCUUGGGUAAUGUAUAACUCCUUACUGUAUUGUUCUUAUUAUCAAAGGCAUGAGUGACUAGCAUGUUAUCCAGAAUUCUGAAUAUGUGUGUAUGGCUUCGCCAUUUUUCGGACAAUCCUUGAAUAUGAAUCCAGUUGAAAUGGUGUUGGACUCUGUAUAUGUUUUCAAGGGAAAAGGUUUUGAACUCUCACCCUGUGCAAAAAUUAUGAAUCUGGUAUAUAGUUACGUAACUAUUUGGUGCCACUCUUUUUCUCUACGGGUUUAAGCGAAAUAAGUGUGAGCAGAUAUAGAAGCAUCAUCAUGGUUGUGGUAUCCACUGGACUGACCGGAGAUGCAUUUGAUGACAAUGAUCAUAUUCAUGAUUCUGUUCAUUACCUGAACUUCCUCCAGACGAUGUACCACGAAACUAAGAUGUCCUGACUUCAAAUUUGUUGAUCGUCAAGGUCAGCAUAUAAAAACUAUGAACUUCCUCAAGACGAUGUACCACGAAACUAAGAUGUCCUGACUUCAAAUUUGUUGAUCGUCAAGGUCAGCAUAUAAAAACGUCAUGUUCAUCUGGUUCAGAACUUGAACCUUCCCUGAAUACUAACAAGAAUUUUGUGAUGAAAAAAGGUUUUAGAGUUGGUUGAAGGUUGUUCGAAGAUUUGAUGGAUUUUAUUCCAAUAUAUAAGUUAUACAAUAGCUUUUCCUCCACCAAUGUAUAGGGGAUCUUAGUUUUCUGAUAUCUAGCUAAAAGUAUUAGGGCAUGUUUACUUACAUGGAAUGAAAUUGAAAAGUGAGGGAAUGAUCCUGACAUAGGAGAAUUCCAGCAUUUACUUACACAUAAUGGAAUUGGAAUGGGUGUGGGUCCCACCUCCUAAUAAGGAAUCGAUUCCUUGACAACUCUGAAUUGUAAUACCAAGGAGGGAGGUGGGAUUAGGAAUGAUACCAUCAGGAAUGAACUUUUAUUCCGAAAAUAUCCUCUUUAAUUUUAUAUGCUAAUAAUAUUGAGGAAUUUGUUUAAAAUGCUAAUAAUUUCAAUUUUUUUUUCGUAAAGGCUUCUUUUUAUAUGCUAAUAAUAUAUUAUUUGUGGAAGUUGUUUUAAAUUUUUUUUUUUUUUUUUUUUUUAACUUAAUAUGUAUAAACGUAUGAUGCCCUAAUUUUGUUGUUCAACCCUUGCAACUUGCAGUUUGAGAUACACCCAAAAUGUUAGUACUAGGUCAAAAUGAUUUUGAUAAAUCAUGGUAGAAGAGAGUUUAUGCAAGGACGAGAUUGCAAUAUACACAAGCGCACACGUAGUUCUGUAUUAUAUUAUUAAUAUGUAACCACAUAAUUACAAUUAAUACACUGAAUAAAAAUAGUUCGUUUGGUUUGUUGAUUAUACGUAACUUAUCAAUUGAGACAACGACAAACAAAACUAUAUCAACAUAUAAGGAAAAAAUUGUGUUGAGAGUGAUCAAAAUGUGUAGCUUAUAUAUUUUUUUCAUGGGUAUUUUAGUAAUUAAAAUAGUAAUAAAUUACAUUCGUGUUCUAAUUCUAUGUGGUAAGUAAACAGCUCAAUGGAACUGAAAUCUCCACAUACUAUUCCAUUCCGUCUCCCAUUCAUUCUGUCUUUCAUUCCUGAUGAAUUCCAUUCUAAGUAAGUAAACGUGCUAUUAAUGGUCUUGGUAUUGCUUUCUGAAAUGGCUUCGAGGAUGUUGUCAUAGCCAAAGGAAGUUCCAUAACAAAUGUUACGUCUUGAGACAUUAUCCGAGGCCUAUAUAUAGUUUCCUUUUGUUAUUGGUUGCUACAAAAUGUUUGGUUUUCAGUUGCUUGGAGUUGAAGACAUCAGUCUAAUUUGUCCUCGUUAAUUUUAGGCAUUUUGUGAUUUAGGCCUUCAUACUUUGAGGCCAUGAAGAACACCCCACAUAAACUUGUGACACUUUCUAUCUUUUCUGUUUAAUGUAUGACCAUCCCACAUCUUACGUUUGAGCCAGGUCCUUCUAACAGCGGCUGAUUAUUGAGUAAUCAAGUCUACAGUUCAAAGCAAAGCAUUGCAUACCUCUCUCUCUUAUUUUCUUUUUUUUUUUUUUUUUUUUUUUUUUCUCUCUUUCCAUGGAGAAGAAGUACAACUAAAAAGAAAACAACAAACAAUCUACAAGGUAGCACCAAACAAAUAAAAGAGAAAAGCCUGGCGAGCAGCUGGAGGGAUAGAAUAUGACCAUACAUCCAUAGAAAUGGAGGAGUGACCAACAUUUACAGAUUCUCUGUGAUGAGGAAUGAGGACAACGUCCUACUGUGAUUCCAUUACAAAACUUGUAUCGUGUUUUUCGUGGUUAGGGAUUUCUCACAGUUAGGCAAUGCAAGCUUACCCAAUUGUCACAAUUAUCUCAUGAGUCAUGACCAAAAUAUGUUUCACAAUCAUUCGACAACAAUUCAAAGUUCGGAAAUGAAUUUGCUACAUUUGUGUCUUAGGACACAUAUCAAAAAUGAGUUCGAAAAUGAAUUAUUCAUUGUGUUUGUUUAUAAGAAGACAAAUCAAUAACGAUCGUAGUAUUUUGAAGGUGAGAAAUUAGAUGAUGGUUAAUUGGAUUUCAGGAAACAAAUUAAUUCAAAAACUUUCAACAAUUGCAUUGUCAAAUAUGUAUACGAGUAUAAUUUGGUGAAAUAUUGGAGGCAACUAAAAAUUACAUAAUUCAUAUAAAACUAAAUCACAUGCUACUAGAGCAAAUGAAGAAACUGAUCAGAUGUAGCUUGAAUCCUAUUGGUAGCAAGAUCAGGCCAUAGUGGGUGUAGAGAAUUGUAGGACUCCAACUCUUCAUGCCACAAUGGCAGUGUGUCGCUAUGGUAGAAAUUUCUUUUCACAACCAACGCCUCUGCUUGCUGUUAGCUCAUUCCUUCUCUUCAUGCUUGGCCAAGAAUCCAUAAACUGGAGACCCUCCAAUCCCAAAAGGGGCCUCAAUGACUGCUGAGCACGAUUCGCAACAUAGACACAUGUGGUUCGAGAGUCGGCGCCGAGCACUACACCGCAGUCGUAGGUAGGUGACGCCGAUGAUGGUGGUGCCUGUGGAGUGAGGGGCGUUGAGAUUCAUAUCCUGUCGUAUGAGCGAGACAUGGUAUCAGAGAGAAUAUCUCCUCCUCUUCUAUAAUCAAGGUAUAUUCUCCUCCACUGAUAUCGUCCUAAUCAACAGCUAGAAUGAUUUCUGUAAACAACAUCCAUUUGAAUUAAUGUAAUUACUUGAGUGUGUGUAUAUAUAUAUAUAUAUAUAUAUAUUAUUUUUUUUUUUGAUUAAAACAUAGAACGUACUAUAUUAAUAAGAGCAACUAGCCCAGAUUAAUACAAAUAGGCCUGCAAAGGGAAACCCACGAAAGGGUACAAACAUAAUGUAAAACAAUAGUCCAAACAUGAGGACCAACAAACAGAAACCUAAACACAGGGCCAACCCUAAUAACACAAAGAUAUAACCAACACUGUUGGAAAAGCAGCCGCCGCCGUUGGGGGGAUUUGCAGUGGAUCCAUCGCCGUCCUUUUUCCUUUGCUCGUUGCCAUGAAGUUGCAGACCUUCGCACCGGCACCCAUGGUGGAAUCUCGAGGGAUCUCCCCACUCAUUUGUCUUUGAAAAAGACAGGGUCGUUCUAGCGUCCAAAACACCGUUUAGAGCCGGUUCCGAGGACAUUUUCCUAGCGGCAACGGAGGGGUGGAGCUUACUACAAUUAGCAGAGGAGAGAGGAAGGUUUUGGAGAUUGAGAUGAGAUGGGUUGAAGAGAAGAGAUGGGAGGAGGCCUGAAAUGGGGACUUUGGCAGCCAUGGAUGGAGAUAUUUUGUGCACGGGGAGGGAAGCAAACCGUAGAAACAAACCGCAAAAGCAAAACGUGGGCACUGGGACUAGAAGCCCGAACAAGGUCACACUCCCCCGACCCUUAAGCCGGAGAUGUAGAUCCGGGAGGACCUAGACCAGAGCAGGAGAGAAGGGGGAGUACAAGGAUCAGAUCUACUUUCUCUCUCCAGUUUUUAGAGAGAAGGCAGAGCAUGAGAGGACCGGCACCAAUGAUUCACUAAUUACUUGAGUAUAUUUGUUCCUUAACAUUAGCUAUAGUUGUAGAAUAUAGAUGUAAGAUCAGUAACAUACAUUAUAGUGAAAUACAAUUUCUAUAACUUCUACACAUGGUGAGGUUUUUGUUUUAGUGGGAAAAAAAUUGACAGAAGCAUGCUUGUAAUUUUGUAAAACAGAACAAACACCAUUCAUCUAUGAAUAAAGAAGAAUUAAUGACAAGCCUAAAAGAAUACGGAUUGAAAACAAAUCCAAAUACAAAUCAAAAUCAGACUGAGAUAACAAAUCCAAAUAGAAAUUGAAACAGGACUGAGAUUGAUUGCGAAUUUGUACCCGAAUCUGAAAAAUUGCAGUGAUAGGCGUGGGAGUUGGAGAUGCAUUUGUCUUUGUUUGUUGUCUCCUCCAAAAUGCAGUCUUGUGUAUAUGAAUAAUAUAUAGGAAUAAUGCCCAUUUGGUACUAAAAACCCGACAUUUGGUACCAAUGGACAUGAGACACGUGUCCAUUUUAAAAGGUUUGGCUGCAAUAUAAGGACAUAACAUGGGGGUAUUGGGUAUUUGGCAUGUUUGUUUAUAAUUAUUGUUGACAUGUGUCCAUUUCUCAUUGGUGUUUGUCACCUAUGAGUGAUCAUAGUUGGUCACCCAAGUUAUUUCCUUGGUACUAAUUAUUGGGCUUUGUUGCCUAUUCCAAUGAAAAACUUUAUUCAUUGUCCAUUUCAAUUAAUCUUACCAAAAUUACUUCUUUAACACUAACCUAUCUCACACCUCUCCCUCCACCUCUCAUUCACUCACGAGAUGCUUUCUCUCUCUCUCUCUCUCUCUAACUCUCACUCACAAGUCCAUUGCCGACGACCUCACCUCGCAUCCACCAACUCUAACGACCUCGUCCUCGCCUCUGCCUACUUCCCCGGCCUCCUCCUCGGCCUCCUCUUCACUGGCAGAUCCGAAGUCAACGACGCAGAUCCUAAACCCUACGUCGCAGAUCUGAAGUCGACGAUGCCGGUGAGCCGAGCUCCGCCAUGCACGCCGAUCUUAGCCAACGCUAAAGCCUCUGAUCUCCAAUCUUCGAAGCUAGCCAACGCCUUGCCGAUCUCUGCCACGCACUACGGCCGCCUCCAAUCUUCCGCCACGCACCAUGGCCGCCUCUGAUCUUCCAUCAAGCACCACAGCCGCCUCCAAUCUCCGCCACACACAAACACCUCGUCUCCCCCUUUAGACGAUCCUCUCUCUCUCUCUCUCUCUCUCUCUCUCUCUCUCUCUCUCGUCGGCGACGUCCAUCACCAAUGCCAGUGACCAUCUAUUGGAGAUUUCGGUCGGGUUCUGUCGUGGGAACCUAUCACAAACAAGUUCUUAAGAGGUAAUAAAAUUUACUAGGGGUCAGUAAUAUGUUAUUGGGGUGAAUAAAAAAUUUACUGGUGGAUAAGAAGUUUACUGGGGGUCAGUAAUAUGUUAUUAGGGUGGAUAAGAAGUCUACUGGAGGUCAGUAAUAUGUUAUUGGGGUGGAUAAGAAGUUUACUAGGAGUCAGUAAUAUGUUAUUGGGGCGGAUAACAAGUUUACUGGGGGUCAGUAAUAUUCUAGCGACUGGUGACCGGAGUCUGUGGACCAGUCGCCGGAGUUCGGCAAGACUCCGGUCAAAGUCCUAUCUCUUCCAUUUUCUCUCUCUAAAUGUGUAUAAGACACAAGGGUAAAAGUGUCUCAAAAAUAUUAUUUUAUUAUGAAUUUAAUAAAGAUUUGUGUAAUCGGGCACAAAUAAGCUAAUCUCUCAUUCAAUUUGGGUCAAAAGUCUUAUUGUCAUUGGAAUGUGGUUUGACUUUUAUUUUUUGUGCAAAUGAGCAUUUUCCCUAAUAUAUAUAUUAAACCUAAUUUUCUUUGUAUGCCUUGUGUGACUGUAAAAUAUUUGUGUUCAAAUUGGUUAUCAUUUCCUUUCUGAAAUUUGUGUACAUUACUAGGAAAGUGUAGUAUAGAAGAUGGUAGCUUGGUCUUAUCAGAUGUCAUGUUGUUGAGAAAAUACGUUGUACCAGAUGGAAGAAAAUUACUCUUCAAAUCCAAUCACCAUACAUCGAGAACGAGUUUCACUGACAUUCUUUUUGUUUUGAACAUUUCUAAUAUAGCUGCCCUUCUUUCUUUUUUUGGUAAUCAAGAGCUUCGAUUGCAAAAGCAAGAAGGCAGAGGCCCCUUCUUAAGAUUCAUUCUUUCCAAAUAAAGCUUUACUCAGGUUUUUCCUAAAAUUGAUUAAUUGAUUUAGAUUCGUGGAAUCAUCUAUUUACUGUUACAGUUAUGCUGAAAGAUCGAUCUAAAUUGUAUUCCUAUAAGGCUAACAACUGCCCUGGAAUUGUGUCUAAAUUUUUUGGUGCUCCACGAUAUCUUGUUUACGAUAUUGGCUUUGUAUAGUCCAACACUCCAACUAUCCAAUGCUAGGUAACAAUUUAGAGGCUUGAAAUUUACAUAGUUUGUGUUGCAAUGAUUACGAAAAUUUUUACCUACACUAUUUCACUAUACUUUCUGGAAAUGCAUGACGAUCGAACAUCAUCAGAAUUCCAUACUUCCACUUAACUUCUUUUUGGUGAAUCAUUUUAUGAUGUGAACUCAUGCCUUGAUAAUAGAAUUAGUAUUUGAUGAUUUAUUCUACAUUAUUAACUUUUUAUUCUUUUUGGGUUUAUAGAAGGAAAAAGUACGUAAGAUGGGUACCGAAGUUUUUAGGAUUUAUCAUGAUCACCGGAAAACAUGAAACUAACACACCUUCACUCCAAGUUUUUUUGAUCGUCAAGCACUCAAGGUCAGCAUAUAAAAACUUCCUCGAAUAUAUUGAAGCUGAUUUCGCUGGAAGAAUGCUCACUGUUGACUACAGGAGGUCUGGAAUCAGUGUUGGGACUGAUUUGGACUUAAACACAUCUGUCAACAUUAUGGUCAAAUUCAUAUUGAAUAUGGAUUGAAUAACAAGAAGCUUAAGUCUUUAACUCAGUUUCAGAGAAGUAAUCCAAGUUGUAUAUCAGUUGGAUUACAUAGAGGUUCAUUGCAUUUAACCUGAAUUGCAUUCGAAAUAGUAUUGUGAUAGGAUUAUGCCUAUGCAGUUGUUAACAUUGAGUACAAUAAGGAUUUGGUUAUGGGAUUGAAUCCGGUUUGUGAUCGCUAUAUAAAGGAGGCUAACUCCCUGUGUUCUUUAUCGGUUUGGCAUUGAGUUUUGGCAUUCCCAUAGUGCUGCUUGAUACAGAAACACAGAAGACAUGCAUCCAACUAUUGUUCGUGUGUGCAGCCAAUUCAGAAGUUCAUCAUAAUGGUGUCAUCAUCGAAGAUAGCAGUCAAGGCAGAUUGGAGAUCCAACCAAGGUAUGUUCCUAGUUCAUAUGGGAUAACUUAAGUAUGCAGAAUGUAUUAAAGUGUUCUUGAAUAUAUGCAUGUGUGUUUGUAUGUUUAUAAAAUGAGAUCCAAACUUAAGUUUUAGACGGCUUUAAUAGGAUUCUAAAAACCAUCUAAUAAUCAGUACUCCUUCGUUGGAAAGAGUGCAAGAGCUUAGAGUACGUAGUAUCAUGUUUCGGCCAGUCAUAUUACUCCUGCCUUGGCAACCUUAUUUUCUGCUCUUGAAGUGUUGACAUGGCGACCAAAUUCCAGAACUCUAUUGUCAUCGAGUACCUUGCUAGGACUGGAGUGGGAACGAAACGUUUUGUAUAGGUUUUUCAUGAGACGAAAGUCUUGACUUUGCUGCUUAAGCUUGUUGAUGGGAAUAUUGCCUUCAAUUUUGAUGAGCAUCCAGAUUAUUUAACUGUUAGGUGCUCAAUGUAAAUGAUCAUAUAUCUUGUUUAGAUGUUCGGCAAUGUGGUGAGUGAUCGAGGGUAAUGUCUCCUCAUUUACAGCUAGCCUGCCGAAGAGAGCUUGUCACUGGAACGACAUUCUAGUCUUCUCCUGUUCCUACUUAUGUUUGAGAACCUAUCUGUUCAUCCGAAUUCAGGUGUAAUUGAGGCUAGAAUUAUUCAGCUAGUUUACACGGGGUAGUUUUAUCUUAUUAAUUAGUUGCUAGGAGGUAGAAUAACUGACUAAGUUAAAUCAUAUAUGAGUAAAGUUUAUUCCUCUUUUUAUAUCCUUAAUCUAUGACAUGUACUAGGAAUGAUGUUCUUUACCACGAAGUGUAUUACAUAUUAUAUUUGAGCUCAUUGUGUGUUAUUUUUAACUGCAAAUACCAUAUGGGGAUGCUUGAGUUUGUAUUGUUUAGAUAAUUAGGUUAACCCUUAACCUGGAAUUAAGGGACAUCUGUCAUGCUUGGACUAUGUCAUCCGACUACAUUUCAUAUCAUUCAUAUUCCAUAACUUGUAUAUUAUCUCCUUUUUUCUAUGAAGAAUUUUCAGACAUGCGUUAUGCAAUGCAAGCAGCCUACCUAACCGUCACAAUUAGUUCAUGGCCAAAUUAUCUUUCAAGUUUAUUCAACAACCCUACAAAGAUCGAAAUGAAUAUUUCUUUCAACUGUUACUCGAACCAUAAUAAUAAAAGAUAUUACCUUCUCACGUAGUGAAAUAUUGGAGGAAACUAAGUUUUUUGCUGCCCAUACAGUGAUACAGAUGCAUUGAGCUCCUCUACAGUAACUUUAUGUAAAUUUCAUAAUAGCCUAAUCCUCCAACUGAUCUUAUGAUCAGUGCUUGCCACAUCAUCCAAUGUCAUAUUUAGAGCCUUUCUCUCAAACCGACGUUAACAUUAACUUCUAGUUUCAACCGUAAGAAACUCGUUCUUAAUCAUCGUACAUUUCAGCAAAAUCUCUAUCGUCAUCCCCUCGAUCGAACUCGUCAAUUUACUCAAUCACAUCUAAGAGAAAAACCUAUUGAAACCCACACCACCAUUGACGCAAUCAAAGGCCGUCUUCCUCUUCUUUCUUCCUCAACUCUUUUCUCAUACUCUACUGACUUAUCUGCAUACUGCAGCCAAGAACCAUGGCAGAUGGUCGUCUUCCUCUUCUUUACACACCAGCGUGGCCAAUUAGAAAACCCAGAUUUUGGCUAACAUAAUAGAAAAACAAUGCAAUAUAAACAUGACUGAUCAGUCAAAUAUGGAUCGGUUUUGGGAUUGAAAUAUGAACAGAACCUGCAAAUCCAUAUGAAUUCUUACAAAAGAAAGUGAAAACCCAUCAAAUCCAAAACAAAAACAAGGAUGCAAAUUAGAGAGCAGAGAAUUGGUUAGAGGAGACGAAAUACAAGUUUUAUAUUGAUUAAAAGGCAUGUUCUUUGUUGCUCGAAGAUCUGGUUCAUGUUCUUCAAGACAACGAUCUGGAAUCGCGGUUUGUAUGGAGAACCGUGUUUUUUUUCUUUAAUUUCUUGUUGGGGAUAACGGCAGGUUUGACGACAGUUUGAGAUGAAAACUCAAAACGUGAAACAAGCUGAUGUGGCGACUAUCUGACUAUUGGGUAUUUUCAAUGACUAUGAUUUUAUGAAAUUUAUAACUUCAAAAAAAUAUUCACUGUAUUCACCGUAAAGGAGCCGGAUCCCACUUGAAAUAUGUACAGUUAAAAAUUGCUUUAAGUAAAAUCUUGUACUUAACUUAUAACUAACUUUAUAAAUAGAAAAUUUCAUAGAAAAGGGACCUUUAUAAAUUACUUUAAUAAAUUGAAAUAUCACAGAAUUAUCAAUGUAUUCAUAGAAAUUGAAAAUGGAAUCAUUGGAAUGUAUCCAAACAUUAAAAUUUCCUAGCUUUAUAAACCUUAUUAGAUAUAUUUCCCCCACAAAAUGUUAUCAAUGUCUCUGCCAUGUAACAGUAAUUUCAUAGAAAAAUAUAGUUUCAGACAUUGUUGAUUUGCAUAAACAUUAUCAGAAAGCUGAUUUCGUUGGAAAGAUUCUCACUGUUGGUCUAGGAUCAGUAAUACUCCUUGGUUGGAAUUGGAAAGACUGAAAGAGCUUCAAGACGUAACAAUAUAUCGGGACAGUAACAUUAAGGGGGUAAAUUAUAUGUCCCGAAAAAAAUUCUGUAUAAGAUAUAAAAAGGACGGACGGAUAUUUCAUAUUUGGCAGGGGUGCAUACGCGGGAUCUGACGUGGCAAUAGACAAUUGGAGGAAGAGGCGUGGAAGCCCACGACCACGUAGACAAAAUAGCCUUCAAACGCUCAGCACUAUAUAAACAAAAUAAUUUCAGAGCCUUCGCAGUCAAACUCGCUCUCCCUUCCUUCUUCUAACAACAACGCCUUCUUCCUUCCGCCAACUCAGACUCAAAGGCAAGUUCUCCUCUACGCCAUGCAACCUUCAAUUUCGUCUUCUUCUUUUCAACUUUUCAAUCAUGAUUUAAUUUUGAUUAUGUGAAUUCUGCAUUGACCGGAUCUUGGGUCCGAUUCGCGGAUCUGGGUUCUAGGGUCUCUCAAUUGUUUAUAUAAUCGUGUGAAUUUGUAAAAUUUGAAGUUUUGUUUGAUGGAUGUGGCUGCUGAUGUGUGUAGUGUGAUUUGAAUUCUAGAUCUGUACGUUAUGAUCAUACCUUAUUGUUUGGACCAGAAGGUUCUCUAGUCCUAAAUGAAAUUGAAUGAAUUGAGAUUGAAUUUGGGUAAUAGCUGAUGAACAUUGAAGAUUUUAAUCGAUUUGUAUGUAAUUCUGCAUGUCAUUGAUUAGUCCUUUUGUUAUUCUAUAGAUUUGUGCAAUUCUGAUAGGAAUCGGAUUCAUGUGUAUCUUGUUCUGUGGUACCCAAAUUGAAUCGAGAAGAGGAUUAGGGUUUAGUAGAAUGUAAUUUGGGUGGAUUCUAUUUGUGGGGUUUCUGUUAGAUGUGAGUCGAUAUGUGUUUGGGAUUGGGAGUCUAAAUGUGUGAUCGGGUUCUGCAGAAAAUGGUUUUAGGCGGUGGAGCAGCUCCCCCAAGAGGAAGUGCCGCAGCUACUGCGAGCAUGCGUAGGAGGAGGACGACGACAAGCGGUGGUGGUGCUUCUGGAGGUGCAGCCGGGACUAUGCUCCAGUUCUACACUGACGAUGCCCCUGGACUCAAGAUCUCCCCAAAUGUUGUUCUCAUCAUGAGCAUUGGUUUCAUUGGCUUUGUUGCUGUUCUUCAUGUCAUGGGAAAGCUCUACUUUGUGCGCUCUUAGAGAGGUGCUCUGUAGUCUGUACUAAACAUAGGAAACAAAGUUCAAUAUGGUGUUCUUUUUAUCAUGAAAUAAUAAUAGUCUAGUUAUGAAAAGAAAUCACAGUUUUAUCAAAUCUUCAUUGUACUAAUUGAAUUGAAUGUUUGGAACGGUUCUAGCUGUUUCAGGUCUGAGUUUAGUAGAAUCAGAGGCUGCUUUUAGAUACUAAAAUUUUGGUCUCAUCUACAAUUUGAAUCCCAUUUUUUUUGGCAAUUCUGUUGAAAUCAUACAGUGAUCAGAGUUUGUUAACUACAAGGGUAACAUGUAUAAGUUGGUUAACAUGGUGUGAAUGGAGAAUCAUAUUUGUAUGAGAGUUCUGUUCUCAUCAUGUGGUUUGGGACCAAAUUGAUACAAGCAGCUUAUUCUCAUGGAGUCGAGGACAAAAUGAAAAGAGGUUAGAUUGUUUGUGCAUUAUGCUCACACAAUCUCAUGAAUUCUCUGGCAUGAGAUUAAGGGUGGGCUUGGUGCCAUUGGUGCUUGGUAACUGAUAUCAGUUUCCUACAUUUUCAAACCAAAAUACCGGAGUUCAAUUUCAUGUCUCAUGAUAUUGGUUUCCUACAUUUCAGACCAAAAUAUAAAAAAUUUCUCAGUACAAACGUUAUUAGUUUAGAGAAAUUUUGAAGACUAACCAACUUUUGGUCAUUAAGAUAGUUUUUAACUAUCUUUUUUCAUUUAGUUGAAAAAUAACUAUUUUACAAGACAAAAAGUCUAUUAUGCCCGUAUCAAUUCUCUACAACUAAAACUUGAAAACUGUUUUUGUUAUUAAGGGGCUUCAUCGAUAACUUAACGUAAUACUAUUAGGAUCAUUUGCUAUAUAUAUAUAUAUAUAUAUAUUUGACCGGUGUAAUACAAUUCUUUUGUUUUCGAUGGUACUGUAUAAAAUAAUUGUUCUCCAGGAGACACUUUGCCCUAAAAUAGAGAUAUCAUUUUCAUCCUUUCGUUCGGCAAAGAAGAAAAAGUACAAACUAACCGUAGCAAUGCAGAUAAAUCAUCUUCAUCUUUUAUUUGAGAAAAUUUAGAUGUUAUAUCCAACUGUGUGUGAAAUUCUAUUUCCUGAUAAGAAAAUAUGCCUUGAUCAUAACUAAUUAUGAUUUGCAGAAAUAAGAAAAUAAACAUGGGGACCAAGAACCUCGUUAUAGGAAGAACUGAGUACAGUAGCUAUACUAAAGUUGGAGCGCGUCUAGGCUUAAUGGAGCUCUCAUCAUUUGUUGGCAAUCAGAGACCAGUUUGACUAAGUUAAAUUUCAACUAGGAUUCGAUCUGAAAAUGGUCACAGCUCUUUGGACCUCCAACAAUCCUAUUUAAACUUAUUUACCAUCCAACUAAAUCUUCAGAGUUAUUUGACACAGACAUGACCCAUUUUCUUCAUCUCAACUCAACCCCCAAUCUUUUUGGUCUCGUCAAGCUCAGAUUCAAACAAGAUAUAUUCUUUUUGUUAACAAGAUAUUCAAAAUGGUUAUUUGUUAUUAAGGGUAACAAAGACUUUUUAUACCAUCAUAUGGUUAUUUUUCAACUAAAUGAAAAUAAAAGGUUAAAAACCAUCUUGAUGACCAAAAAUUGGUUAGUUUUCAAAAUUUCUCAUUAGUUUAAGUGUUUAACCAAUGGCGAGUUCAGUUUGGUGUGUCGAUUUCCUACAUUUCCAAACCAAAAUGUCGAAAUUUCUCAAUACUAACAGCAUUGACUUCCAUCUACAAUGGCGAGUUUGGUUCAGAGUUUCAAAGAGCGUAAUUGAAGGACCAGGGCUUGAAACCAUUAUCAAAAUAUCUUGUACCACUUUUAGUUUCUGGAAGUUCAGAAACGUUCUCCCAACAACAAUAAUAACUCUAGAAAGACCAAAUCUUAAAUUUCUGAUAUAUAUACUUCUGAACGGUGUUUUACGUCUAGACUUGUCCAUGGAGAUGGCGGGUUGACCUUGAAGUCUUCCCAAUCUGGUUAUCGGUAAUAAUUGAAAGCCAAUAUUUGGUUUCCAAAUUGGCUGACUAAAUAAUGUUGAUGAAGACCAACAUUCCUGAUCCUUAAUUCCAUGGUGAAAAGAUCCGCAUUGCUAUGCUCUUGCAUUUUGUGACAUCCAGUAGAAGGUUGACCAGUGUGAUCAGGAGAAACCGAUAAACAUAGUAGAUGACUAAGAUGAGGAUAAGAGUUAAGUGAUUAAUUAACUUCUCAGUUAGUGCAGGCUAUGAUUAACAGCUGACUCGAGGUUCUCACGCCUACAUGAACAAGGACUAAAAUGGGUGCAAUUUAGAUUAUGCAGAGUGAGAUGAGCAAAUGAUAAGCUGGCGUAGUAGCCUACCUCCCGUAAAAAAUUUGAUGGAUCCGUCGUUAUACUUGGAAACCUAACAAAAUAUUAUCUUCACAAAACCGAAACAUGAUCGACAUGUUUUGGAUCGAUCAUGAUUAACUUAUUUACUGUUAUGUUUAUCUUGCUAAUGUAAAUAAAAUAUCUCCGUUUUUGUUCAUCAUUUGUUCUCUCUUAUUCUCUCUUCUUGUCAAAGAAUAUGUCUAGUACUUUUCAAUCUUUAGACUUACUUAACUGAAUUUAACCGUUAAGUAAGUCCAGAACAUGACAUGCUUAAGCAUGGUUAAACAUAUAUACUUAACAACAAUAUGUUCUCUCUUAUUGUCUCUACUUGUGGAAGAUUAUGUCUAGAAAUCCUUGAAAAGUAGUAUUAGUCGUAAGUCAUAACCCAGGAGACUGCUUCUUGGUUUAUUUUUUGUCCUUUGUGUUUUUUUAAGAAAAUAUUUGUGGGCAUAUGAGGCUACUAGAAGACCUUGAAUGAAACUAGCCGGAGUGCGAUGUGGGACAAAGUCUUACUCGAUGAGCAAAGAACGAGUGUCAACCACGGAGACAGAACAAAGUGAUGGUUAACCUUAUUUCACUACUUGAGUCGUGAGUGGUGACUAUCUCAGCAUACAAAUCUUUACACGAAAUCCAUUCAAAUCCCACGCAGAAUGAAGGGAGAUAAUAGAGGGAGGAUAAUAAAAGAGGAAGCUAGCUAGAGAGAAGUUGAAGUGGGGGUAUUUCGCUUUCACUAGCUCAAAAAGUGGCCUAAGCAUGCAUCUCGACCUUCAUUGCAAAACGAAUAUAGCAAAAGUGUGUAUGGUCCGGUACUCUUGAAAAUAUGAACAUCUCCAAGAUUAUGGAUCAGAAUGGUGGUGAUUCUAAGGGAAUUAUUUGUUAGCUUAGUGAUCAAGUUUGGUUUACAAAGGAGGUUCUGAUCGAGGUGCUUCAUUUAAAGCUAUAUAUCAGUGUAGUUCAUAUGAUCUAUAUAACAUAUAUCACUUUGUGGGGAAUUCUUUUAUUGUAAUAUUGAUUUCAUAUAAGAAUGGACAUUCAUGAAAUGUUUUUCCCGUUUGAUUAUUAUAAUAAAAUAACGCAAUUAUAUAUUUACCUCUUUCACCUGGUUUUGGUUUUCCUAUUAAAACUCAAACCACCUCCACACAUAAUUUUCUUUUUGGCAAUAUGUAUCUCAUUCCCAUGACUAAAAGUGUUUUCCAAUUAGUUUUGUUACCAUCUAGAGGGAUUCUCAUUUCUAUGUAUUCAACCUUUUUUGGUCAACAAAUCAUAUGUUUUUAAAUAAAUUUAGUUGUAUCAAAAUUAAAAAGUAGUGAUCAUUUUCCUUAAUUACUUAAAUAUUUGGUAAUUGUUAUUUAAAUAUUUGUAUAAAUUUCUUACUAAUAGCAUCAGGUUGAUAAUAAAUAGUCCAAAUAAUUCUAUUAUUUGAUCGAUAUUUCGUUUACGGAAACUGUUAAAUAGUACAUCGCUUCUUUUUUAAAAGAAUUUUUUUUUUGAGAAAUGUGGGAUUCGAACUUGGAUAUCCGUACAAAAUAUAAUUAAAGAAAUUAUUUAGUGAUUUUUCCUUUCAAGGAAUCUUAUAAUUUGGCGGUAGAAUAAAAAUUACUUUUUAAGCGCGCACUUGUGUAAAGUUUAAAAUAUGAAAAUACCAACAAUAAUUCAAAUUAUGCUCAUAGCCUACUCAUAGCCUGAAAUAUGAGAGAUGAAAUGUUUAAGUCACCUUGAUUCUACUUUAACAGUUAUAGUCAAAUAUUUAUACAACUCUGAUAUCAUCGAGUGAGUUUCUGUCCAUAAUAUCUUUACAUGAAAACAAGAUGAAUAAAGAAGUUGGUUUGGUGGGAUAAAAUCUCUAUCAUUCAAGAGCAAUGGAACCAAUGGAACCAUUGAAUUCACAUGGGAGGAUCAAAGGAGAGACCAUAAAAAUGGUAGGUGAAAUCCAACAUAAUAUAGCACAAUCUACAUAGUGGCUCAAAUAUGUAUGAAUUUUCCAUAAUGGGCCACUCAGCCAAUUUGACCAUCCUACAGUCCCUCCCCCCAGCACCAUUCUUUCCUCCACCUUUUAAAAGCAUCAAAAUCUGAGGCACUUCCCUCACUCCUCUUCUUCCCUUCAUCACUCUCUCUCUAACCAACCUCCCACCCAUAAAACCAAACUCCACAUUUUUAGAACAGAGAGAGAGAGAUUGAAGACAACGCGAGAACAAUGUUGUCCGGAGGAAGAAUGAGCUCAAACCUGUCUGAUAACUCGAAGACCACCAAAGCCAACAUUAAUGGAUCUCCCAUGUCAGCCAGAACCUUCAAAAGCUCGGCAAAGAUGACCAGUAAGGUGACGCCUCGUGUUGCCGCAGGCGGCUCCACUUGGAGCAUGACUCCUCUGAUGGAGGUUUUGCCUGGCUCUUCCCCACCUGCUGGUAGCAGCAGCUCAAGCCCUAUCAGCCCUUUGAGCUCCAAGACUUGCUCUCCCAAAUCAGAGAAGACUCAAUUCUUCUCUGACUUGCCUACAAACGCGUCCACAAGAUUAAACCAGGUAUUGAUUCAUUGAAAGAAGAUGGUUUUGUUUGAUUGUAGAAAAAUGGAUUCUUGUCAUGUCUCUGUUUGACAUAGUUAUAUGGAUCAUGUGAAUUGAGAAUCAUUCAAGGUCUAGCCUAAAGGGUGUGUGAAGAUAUUUCAAAAGUUAUAUUUCUCUCAAGGGUAUUGAAAUUUUGGUGAUUUUUGAUUGAUCUGCAUAGGAUUUUUUCCGAUUUUGUUGAUCUCUAUGGACUGUAGAUGAUAACAUAGAUUGGUUUUGAAUAUGAUUUAUCUUCAUCUUAUUUUGUGUAAAACUUUCAAGAAUAAUGAGUUUCAUAUUUAGGUUGUGAACUCUGGUGAGUUUUCAUCAAUCGGUAGAUGAGAAAUUUCAUGCUCUGCUUUUGAUAUAUUGGUUUUUAAGAUGAUGAUCACUAUGUGUUUGUUUCAUAAUACACUCUGAUUGAAAUUCUCUCUUUUCAUUCGACUUUCUGAUUUCAAGGUCUGUUUUGAUUAUAUUUUGAUUGCAUAACAGGAAGGGUUGGAGAUUAAUGCCAAAGACUUUGGCCGGCUCUGUCUCACCAAUUUCCAGGCCAAUCCUCACAAGGGUUCCUGCCUGAGCAAGCUAUCAAUGACCGAUACCUCAUCCUCUCCUCACCAUGAAAUUGUUGGGCACCAAUCAAACUCAGAGAGAGACGAGAGGUCUGUUGAUGAAGAGGAUAGCCAUUUGGCACAAGGUGAGCAGAGCACAAAUGAAGACUCGGAUUGCGAAAGCCCGAUUGCCGGACGAGAUAAGCUGAUGGAUCGGCCGAAGCCGUACCAUGAGUUCUUGGAUGAAGUCAAGAAGCAGGAGCUGCAGGCUGAGGUUGAGGCAUGGAAGAAAGCUGAGCAGAUGAAGCUUAUGACCAAGUGAGGAGACUUGACCUCUAUUAGUUUUCCUUGUAUGAAUUUGAGCAUAUAUGGUAUGAAUGGUUUUGUUAAGUCUAUUCAAAUGUGUUGACAGGUUGAGACAAGAAGAAGCUGCCAUUGAGGAAUGGGAAUUCAAGCAGACCAGCAAGGCCUUGAAGGACAUCAAAAAGCUUGAGGUACGAAAAUCUCAAAACAAUUGCAGUAUUCGGUCAAUCCCCAUAAUAUGAAGUAUUAGUUUAAAAUCCGAAAUAUUGUCUGGUUUUUUUGGGUCAAUCUGCAUAGGGAUUCAAUUCAUGAUAUGUUAACCUGUAAGUCUGUAACCAUCAAAUGUACAACGCUCAAUUCCGAUUUCAUGAGACUGCUCUCAAUUUUGUCCAUCAUGUUUUAAAUUACAUAUCUUAUUGUCUGAUGCAUGUGGCGAAAAUAAACUAGUAUACGGUUAUAACACUUUGUCCUUAAUUAACACAGAUAUGGGUCAUUUCAUCAAUAGUGUUUACCCGAUUACUAACUGACCCCAAAGGACUCAUAUUUUUUUUUUUACCUUUAGAUUUACAUCCACAUGUUGAAAAAAAAACAACUCUACAUUCAACGGUGGUUUAACAUAAAUCUCUUAUUCAGUAAAACAAUAAGUGAACAUGACUGGUCUCGAAGUAUAUCAUUAUAGUGUUUCAAACUUACUUAUUUUGUGAUAUCCACUCGUAUGCAAAGAUAGAUAAACGAGUCCCAUUUAAUAUUUCAUUAGAUAUGUGGUUGAUAUUCACUAAAUUUCGUUUCUCUCUGGUUGAUAAUUUGGCAGAUUAAGCUGGAGAAGCAACGUGCAAAAGCAGUUGAGAACACAUGGAAGAAAAUAAACAUGACCAAAGAGGAGGCAAACAAGAAGAAGAUACGAGCCAGGCAAUGUACAAUCGGAAGACUCUCAGAGGUAUCGGAAAAUUCUCAGAAGCCCUACUCCACCAAGACCGUAGUGUGGAACAAACUCACUGUUUACUGCAAGACCAUUUACUUCAAAUCCGUGCGAGGCAAGGCGCCAACAUCAUCAGAACGGCAAAGGUCGUUAAAGUAGCUCUCUCCCUUGAAGGGUUAAACAUAAGCUAUCUGACAGUAGAGGCAGUGGUACUUCGGUUAACUAAUUUCAUGUCAUCGAAUAAUCUUGGAUAUGUGCCAGAAAUCGUUGUACCCUGUAUUUCUUGAAUAAACUUUGGGUAUCAAGCAAACCCUUAUUUUCUUGCGCAAAACAAAAUAGCAUGUUGAAACAUGUCAAAUGAUGAUUAUCUCAGAGAGCAAAGGACAAACAUACGAGGUCUCAUCCCAGAAAGAAAGAAAGUGAAAACAAAGCUAAAAGAUCUCAAAUACAGAACACGGCAUUUUAUUUUAUUUUUCAUGGGAAAAUGCACAAACUGAAAUCGGGAAACAGGAUCACUCUGAAUCCUAGGGUAUCUCUCUUAGAGUUUACCAUGUUAUAUUACACCCAAACUUUUCAACGACAUUAGAUGAAAUUAUCAAUAGCCAAAAGCUCCUGGGAUCUCUUACGUACAAUAAAGGACUAAAAUUACAUUUAGUUGUAGUUGGUUUGCAGAACAUCUACAAGUCAAACAUACAACAACAAAUCCAACAGCUGGGUUCUAGCCAGAUAAUAAAGUACAUCGCUGCUGCAUUUAUCACCUACUAAAACUACUGCCAUAUGAUUCACGAAGCAUCAGUGAGCAGUCUCAGGUACCCAACCUGAAACCAUACUCUCAUCCACAGGCUUUGCCCCACAAGACCUCGAUACAGAUUCAAAGAGUUUUUCAAUCUCUGGUGCACACCUAAUGAAAGCUCGGUUCCAGAAGUUGUACCUCGGAUUCUGACAUUCACAUGUAGAAACUUAGGUCAGUUCACAUCAUUCAGAAAGCUCCAAGUUUCUUUUUGUUUUUUUUUUCAGAGGGAGAAUGAGUGUUUACCUUGAUUAGCUCAAUGAAUGUGAUCAGUAGACCCCAUGGAUGUGGACGAUUAACAAUGAGACGUUCCAACAAGACCCUUGUGAUUUGCUCCUGGAUAAUUUCCUGCUGAAAAAUUGUAUAUUGACAGUUUAACACAUGCAGUACUUGAAUAAUCAAAACAUGGUAAUUAUAUACCAACACCCCAAAAUAACUAAGUGAAUGAUAUAUAAAUUGGAAGCAAGGUAAAGGUAAAAUGGCUGAUGUCAAGGUUCCGCAGCCCAACGAUCUUGGUGAUAAUAAUCCCCACCAAGAACUGAGAGACCCACAUGUAUAUCAGGAGGCAACCUUCCACGUUAUUAAUCCAAUCAUAUAACCAAAUGAAAAAGCAGGUACUCUUGACUGACCAAGACAACAGUAAAUAAUGUAUACAGUAGUAUCAAGCCUCUAACUUGUCUCACCUGGUUUGACUCUGCGAACAAGUAAAGAACAAUGAAGGAGAAGUAAUGUGUAUGGGUGUUUGGAUAGCGCAGUUGGUUUGCUAUCGCAUUUAGGAAAAGGUAUCGUCCUUCAGUAUCUAGGUCCCCUAUCAGAGUCUGGAAGAUAUCCAAAGCAGCCCCUACCAAAUACACAAAGGGACCAGUUUGAUUUGCCUGUGCGUGCGGUGUUCUAGUCUGAAGCUGCUGGAUAGCCUGUAAAAGCAAACCUCGUUAAUAAGCAUUGAAACAUCCACUACACCCAAACCCUCCCCAUCAAUUCACUGGUAAAAAGUUUAACUAUAAAGUAUGCAAAUCCAAGAACAACCCAAUUACAAAACCAGAAUCUUGAUUUCAAACAAACAAUCAUAAGAAUGGCUGGGUAUUAGAAUGCAAACUCAGUACCUGCAUCCCAACAUAGAGUACAAGGGAGUUGAUGAGGGGUACAUUGUAACGAGUACCGGCUGAGGAAGCUUCGGUUGGUAAAAGGAGCAAUUUUUGCUUCAAUUCAGUCAAAAAUGAGGAGCCUUGUUGCCUUGUCUGCAAAGUAUAUUCACCCAUUUAAAAAUGAUACAACUCUAUCAAAAGAGCAGACUAGGAACACAUAUUGUACAUUAGAAGCCUUCAAACUAUAAGAGUAACCGAUUCAAACAAAAAAACGUCAAGACAAAUUACAGAAGGAAAGAAGCAGUCUCUGUCCAUUAAGUAAAGUGGACUACAAACCUUGAGAUACUCAUCCACAUCGGUUUUCAUCUGCUUUACUUUCAAAGCUGCAUCAACCUCAGAAAGAACUCGUGGAGAUUGAGUGAUUUCAGCAAGCAAAUCAAUCUGCAGAUGUAAAGAUUCCAUUCUGAUCAGUUUCCACGACGAAAAAUAUGUGUAAACUUGUUAGUUUUUUCUCUCUAUCAAGACAAAAAUGUUGACUAAUCUUUUUUCUCCUGAACUGCAAAUUAGAGGAAAAUAAACUUUUUUAAAAGUAUAUUCUUUUUUUUAUUUUCAUAUUGUAACAUUUUAUCUGUCAUACCAUCAUAAUAUAUUUUUUUUCUUACAGUUGGAAUCAACCAAUAGCAAUUGUAGGGUUUUAAAUAAAAUAAACAUAAGCACUAUUUGCUUAAUAAAAUAUUAUAUAAAGGAUCAUCAACAACCUUUAAAUUCGGAGUAGAUGGGUCAGGAAGCCUCAUGUUACGGGGAAACGCACUGAGUAUGAUAUUUCGCAUUUGAAUGCAACUUGGGGGAAUAACAUCACAGAAAGUGAAGUGAUAAUCACAAAGGAACUCGGGGAAAUCAUGGAGCAGCACAAGUAGCACUCUAAGGGUACCUUUAUAUAGGAAAUGAACCUACAUGAAUAGAGAAGACAAUAAAUGAUGUGAGUUAUCAAUUUAUGGUAUACUUCGGCAGACAAUGAAAUCCAACAGAUUAAAAUGCAUACCGGAGCUCCUAGUUCAGCAUUCCUCAAAAAUGGCUCCAUGAAUUGAAAUAAGUCGACCAGCAAACGUUGGAUAUAGGGCCAACCCUUCUGACCAUUUCCAGCUAGCAUUUUAGGCAUGAAACUCCUAUGACUCACCAGCUCGAGCCAUGCAAAGCUGAUGGUGCCAAGGGGAAAAUAAAUCAAAAAUUUAAUCUUUGAUACAUCAAUAUAUAUUCUUAUAGGACAUCAAUAGCAAUUAUCAAACUAAAACCUUCCCAAAUAUUAAAUUAAUACAUAUUCCCAAGACGAACGCCAAAGGUACACAUCAAAUGACAGAGAUAGAGAUGGUGGUAUUCUAAAGAGAGGGAUUAGGAUGACAAGACAAAAGGUUUUGUUAGCCCAAACUAUGGUAUAAGUCUCCAAACAGAUAACUCAGCAUUGAUCCCUGACCGAAUAAACUCCAAAACUUAGAACCUCCCAUAUUGUGCUAGGCCUUAAAAGCUUAUCAACUACCACUAUCUCCUACCACCGAUGAAUGGUUAAUUAAUACAGAAAGAUGCUAACCUGAAUGUAGGAACUUUGAGGGGUUGCAACGCAUGAAACGCAUUUGCAAAGGCUAUCAAUAUCUGAAGCACAGACAACAGAGACACCAGUAAAUUGACAUAGGCAAACUAACAAACCAAAGACAAUAUUAUCUAAUCCAGUAGACCUUGACCUGAAAGUUAGCACCAUCAAUAACGGGAUCCAAAGACCCAAGGUCUAGCAACCAGUUAACAAACAAUCUAAAAUAUGGUCUUGCAUUGAAAGACGAUUUCUUCUCCUCUGCAUCCUUCUGAAUGAAUCUCACUGUGACUGCCAAAAUCUGUAGAAUACCGAAGUUAUCAUACAAAACCAUUACUGGAUAGGCAUUAAAAGUAUAUUUCAAUCAAAAAGGCGCAAUGCUCACCUUGGACAAGAGAAUCAAUUUACUGGAUCCCUGCUCCAUCUGAAAUAAUGUGAGUUUGUUAGGCCCAGAAACCAUAGAAACAUAUAUAUUACAUAUAUUAGGGUUUACGUAAGUGAAGAAAUAAUUACCUUGAGAAUUGAAAAUACAAGUUUAGCAUAAAUAUCAAUGGCCAGGAAGGAUAGACUCUGCGCUUGCUGAGGAGUUUGCAGUGUGCCUGAAUUAAUCACCUCAGAAGAUAGACAAUGUUCAACAGAAAUCUCCUGAGAAUGAAGAAAGAAAAGGCUUCAAACUAUGUAUUGUAACUCUUAAUUGAAUUCAAAUUUAUAUUCUGAACUGUAAACUCACUGUGAGUAGUCGGAAAAACCGGUCCGUCAGAUCAUCCUUCAGGAUGCCAAUCGAGUGCAAAUUUAAGAUAAAAUGGGAACAAUUAUUUUCGUUUGCACCAGGAAGUUCACAAAACCGGCACCACUGAGCAAACACAUCUUUCACCUACAGAUUACUCACAUGAGCAAAAGAGCAAAGGCUAAAAAGAUGUACAGUGUACAUAGCGAAUCUCCAUUUGCAUAAUUUCCUAACUGAAUUAUAUUGUGUUCUUUGUUAAAGAAAUAGAAACUACAAAAAUGUCUCAUAGUACCUGCUCGGGAAAACCAGGUGGAUCUGGUUCUGCAGACUCCACAAUACUGAACUCUUCCCUGCUUCCCGGGGAGUGGACAGGGGCCUGCAUUAUCAUAGGACAAAAUAAAUUAGUAUCAUUUGAGGCAGAAACGACACAUAAAAUAGGCUAAAACACUAAAGAUACUAGCCUUCUUCUCUCUCGAUUGUCUGGCCUUGUCGUCCUUCCCAACAUUAAUACCAGAUAGAGCAGCCACAUUUGCAGCAGGAUUCUUGAUAGUUUCAACCAGCUGCUGCAGUGACUCAGGAGAUCCAGGCUUUGCAGCAACCUGUGUUUCAGAAUUUGUAAACAAAUUCCUCUAAUAGAUAACUUAAAUAGAUGUUUGUUACACAGACCUUAAACAAUGCUUCAACAAGAUUCCUAAGUUCUGAGAUAACUUUAUAUUCUUCAAUCACCAAAGUUUGGAUCAAGGAAGUGGCAAACUCUGUUGCUGCCUCUGCAUUUUAAUAUAUGAAAUCAGUAAGUUGGAUCUUCAUCAAAAACUAACCAUGUAAACAAAAUAUUCCUUCUACGUACUAUUCUUGCCACCGUCAAUAAGUUUUGCCAUGUGAACAUUGUACUCUGCAAGGUUUAGCAAUUCACUGCGUAUAAGGCCAACAGUAAUUUCUUUGUUAAACUUCCGCUCCUCGUCAGAAUAAAUCACCUGAAACAAGUUGCCGAUAAAUAUUUAAUGAGAGAAGGCUAGUCUUGAGAAUAUAUAACCAGCUUCUAAUUGUGACUUGAAGUGACAUGAUCAUACAAAUAUGCAAUAGCAUCAGCAAGUAAGACCAAAAGUUUAGGUCAUUGAAAAGUUCGUGUGACCAAAAUCAAUAUUUAAACCCUCCACAUAAAAAGAACACAUCCAAAGGGGAAGUGUGGAUUGGAUGGACUGCAAAUAGCCAGACAACAAUAACUGUGAGUUUUAAUAGUGCAUACCCAACUGGUUAGCUGAGUAAAAACAAGCUUGCAAACAUCACGAAUCGCAGUAAGCAUUGCGAGAUGAGCGCCAACAUGAAUCUGGUUUGAUGCAUUCUCAUACAAACCCUUGAAAACCUGUAUGAAGAUUAAUGAAACGAAUUUAUAAUCAAGGGACACUUUUUAAAGAGGUUGCUCGAAACACGACAGAGAAACUCCAAAAACAAUCAAGCUAACUCUAACACUAAUCUAUAAACGUGAACACAUGACCAAAAUAAUACAACUAGUUACAAACAGUAGCACUGACCUUUUGAGCCACAGCCAAGGCAGCCUCAUCUCGACUAACACAUCUGAGUAUAAUAUCAGGCACUUCACCAAUGACUCCCUAGAUUUACAUUUAUGUUAGUGGAUGCAUAUGUACGAAUGUACAAGUCUGUAUACAAAAUGGAAAACUCUCCAAAAAAAUAAUUGGGUGCCCAUAUCUGGGAUCAAACAAAUACAGUACCUGGAUUUCUGAUUCUCUAGCAUCGUCAGUUACCAAGGCUUCCAACUGAAACCAUUAAGAAGAUGUGUCAUGCUACGAUUGCAUCUAUACCUAUCAUUACUUGUAAAAAAAUAAAAGGCAGGAUGGAAAUAUAAGCGUGAACCAAGUAUCCUUUGUGACUCUCAUGUAAUGUAAGUUGCUGCUCAAUAUGCAAAUUCAAACCAAGUUUCUUGCAGUAGGUGGCUGUGCAAUGCCUUUGCACCCAUCUCCGAUACCCCCUCUUCAAAUAGAGGAGGAUAAAGAGUGCCAACCCAAUUUGGGACAUGUUAUAUACAUGAGAAUGUAUUAUGGCCCCAAACAGGUACCAAACACAACACAGAUUUGGAGUGAACAGAUCAACAACCCAUCUCCAAUUUAAAUAGGACCAUACAAACAUCAGAUAAGUAUAAGCUAAAAAGAUAUUUGCAACCUUCUGCGCAACAAUCUGGUAUUUUUCCAAUGCAGCCCCUGUGCUGAGGGAAGGCUCUGAGAGAUUUCCAAGACGUUCAGUUACAGCAGGUGAAGGCAGUGGCUGUGAAGAUACUCCAGAUUCCUGGAAACAAGAUAUAAGUUUGAGGCAACAGAGAGAACAUGAAACUUCACCGCCCUAUAAACAUGUAAGAAGUUCUGUCAACCUUUACAGCAUCAGAUGACUCUACAGAGUGCAGCUCGGGGGCAGAAGCAGCGGAAGGAAAUGAGCCAACAACAGAAUCAUUUUCAGAACUAUCAUGGGAAACGCCAUCGCCCACCCCAACAUGAAUAGAUGAAGCACUGUUGCACAAAAUACUAUAUUGUCAAACAUUUCCGCAAAUAAUACUUCAUCAUGCAUAUAGUACAGAGCUAUAAGCACCAACCUAAGAUGGAGGGCAGAAUUGGAUUCCAUCACUUCAUCCAAUGGACGAGAAACAGCUUCAAAUUUGCUUCCAGGUCCUGGUGAGUAGCCCGUGUUAAGUUGCCCGGAUGCUGAACCAUAUGUGCUAGUGAGACCGGCACUACCAGAUGAAGCUGUGGUAGCAACUGGCAGAACAUGCGAACUUUGAAUAGAUUGGUUUUGCCAGGGAAUCCGAACAAAAUCCUACAUCAUAAAGGUGGGGUGUAAGAAGAUGAAGAGUCACAAGGCAUUCUUCCAAGGAGAAAAUUUCCCAAGUAAAAUGUAAUGUCUUACCUCAUACACUCGUUGUUGAGAAAGGGACAAAUGACCAGGUUUAGGGCGGAGAGCUUCUGGCACAACACCCAUAGAACCUUGUGGAUACAUGUUAGCAUCAAAAUAGGUUGCACCAACACCUUCUCUCUUUCUUCUUACUGAAAGCUGCUGACCUAUCUCACCAUCAAUUGUUGCUACUGCCUACAAAUAAUAAACCACGAUUAAACAACAAAAUAAACUGAACAUCUAAAUACAGGGAUCUUAUAGUUAACUAAAAUUAGCCUAAUUUUCCAGGCUCCAAACACUUAACAAGAAAAAAGUUUCAUAUUUAAUACUGUGAUCAAUUGAACUUUUGAACAAGAGUAUAAAAACUGAUGAAAAACAGAUUUCUCAAAGUACCCCAUGCCCCCAUCCCUAGCCUUCUCAAAUUUCUCAAAGAACGAUUCAUGGAAUAGUAAGUUCAAAAAACAACAGAAAUUAUCCACAUUCAUGGAACUAUCAUGAUCAUAGAGGUGGUUGUAGACGGAGGGAUGAAAACAGAAAAAGAAAAAAGCANNNNNNNNNNNNNNNNNNNNNNNNNNNNNNNNNNNNNNNNNNNNNNNNNNNNNNNNNNNNNNNNNNNNNNNNNNNNNNNNNNNNNNNNNNNNNNNNNNNNNNNNNNNNNNNNNNNNNNNNNNNNNNNNNNNNNNNNNNNNNNNNNNNNNNNNNNNNNNNNNNNAAGAAAAAGAGCAACUUGUAAGUAUAGAGAAAAAAAAAAAAACAGGUUAAAUUGAGCAGUUUAAAUUUUUAAAAGAUAUAAAUUUUGAAUAAAUCAAUUGAAGUGGGUUGUUUAUGUUAUGAGGAAUUAAUUUUACUCCCCCUUUUUAAAUGUACAUGCAAACUUUAUAGACAAGGUAAAAGCAUUUCUUCAUCAAAGCAAACCUUAUCUGUAGCAGCCUGCUCAAUGACUGCACAUCCAAGAUCCAGAUUAUCAUUGGUUACAAGUUGAACAGCUUGUUCUAGAUAUUCACUUGCGAUGUUUAAUCCCUGAAGAGAAUUUCUUAGCUGACUUAAUAUUGAACUCCUCAAGGGUUCCUGCAUGCAGAAAACACAAACCACCAAAUUAAUGGGAAAAAAACAUCACAAUCACUGCAAAUGUGUGGUAAAGAGGAAAAAAAAAAUCAUAUAGGACACAAUUUUAGAAACAAAAAUACCUUGCAUGUUACAUGUGCAAGACUUCCGGCCAAACUUGCGACCAUCAAGUGAGCUGCAUUCAAUAUUCUUGUGUCAUCUGAUUCCAUGGCAUAGUCCUACAAACACAAAAAUGAAGAGAUGUUAGAUAAAUUGAAUAUUCUUGUGACAUCUUCCCAUGACAUAAUCCCCACAAACAAAAGUAUGAAGAGAGAUGGUACACAAGUUACUCAACAUAUGAAGAGUAAUGCUACAUACCAAUGAAACAAUCUUUUAAUGCAAAAAUUGGGCUUCUGGGCCUCAAUCUAACGACCAAACCAGCAUGCUAAGGCUUUCCUAGAGUGGUUAGAUAUAUUAAUGCUACAUACCAAUGAAACAAUCUUUUAAUGCAAAAAUUGGGCUUCUGGGCCUCAAUCUAACGACCAAACCAGCAUGCUAAGGCUUUCCUAGAGUGGUUAGAUAUAUUAAGUUUUUGCCUUUUCACUCUUCUGUGUUAAACCUCUUAACUAAUGCGAUGAGAGUCAGCUAAAUCUAGCCAUCGAGUUUCCAUCAGAUCUCAGCAAAUUCAUUAUUAAGAUGGGUCACAAGUUGAGGAAAUUGACAACUAAUUGAGUAAGCUAACCUUUAACACAAGCUCCUUAGUUGUCUGAGUAGCUAUAGAAACACUGCGCUGAACAAUACCAGAGACAAUUUCUUUGAUAGCUCUAUCCAUAGCAAUUGGAACCACUCUGCAAUAAACGAAUAACAAUUAGCAAUUCUCCAAAGCACUUGCAAAUGUACUUGAUAUGAAAGGGCUUUCAUAGCACCUUUGGAAAUGCACGUGCAACCCCCCCAAGCCACUGUGUUUUUGGUUGAUAACUACGCGGGUUCCAAUGUUAGGUAUUGCUGUGGGAUGCUGUGAGUCAAAACAGCCAGCCAAGUAGUGAGGACGAGAAAGAAACAUACUAACUAAGAAAAGACCGGAGGAAAAAAAUAUCUGCAAACACAAAUCUCACCUGACUAACAGAAAAUGGGGACUGUGAGGGAGAAGCUUGUAACAGUCCUUGAGCAGAAGUGAUCUGAUCAGAUAAUCCCAAAGCAAGCUUGUCAUCCUCCAUCAACGUAGCAUACUAAGAAAUAUAUAUAAGAAAAUCAAUGCCCAACCAAUAUGGAAUUCAAAGGUACAACUGCUAUCCAGCAAGAAGAACUCAAGCAGAAACUGAAAGCAAACCUGAGAUAACAAAUGUGUGUGGCUCCCAGAAUUAGAUGGAGCAACGUCAAGUGGUAGCUCAACUUGGUUUAGUGGAGAGAUAAUUCCAGAUUUUACUUCAGCAAUUUGUGGUUGGGUUGCUCCAACAUCUUUGUUGGAGAAAUCAGGAUUCCCUUCAAGUUCUCUGGUGCGAUUCUUGAGAAGAGAAGUUGGUGUUAUCUCCUUCAAAUCCACUCCUAGAUUCUUGAAUAGAACCUGAAAAUCCGAACCUCAUAAUCAAGUAAAUGGACUAUUAUGGCAGAAAAGCUCCAACAGAGAACUUAAGAGACAUGUGUCAGAAUACCUCUAUAUCAAACUUGAGGUUCAUCUUCAAGUUUGGCAUGGAAUAGAUCUCAGCAAGUAAUCCAAGAAUACCCAUUGUCCAGGGAUUUGGUGGUUGAUACGCCAGGCUACUCUGACAUGGUUCCAAAAUCUGCAACCAGUAAAAGAAAAUAAGCUGUCCCACACAUCAACGCUUGCAGAAAGAAUAAGCUUAAUAAUAGCAACAUAGUUUACCUUUGAAGUGAAAGGUAUGACUGCAAUCAUCAAACCUUUCUCAUAUGCCUGUUAGGAAGGGAGGAAAAGUAGUAACAAUCAAAUCAAAUAGUAAUCAUUUAGUAAGUAGCAUAAUAACAAUAUGUAUAAUAAUUCUUGAUUGCAGUAGAAAAAUAAAACAAAACAACAAGAUUUGAACUAACACCUCUAUGAUCAAAGAUUUGGGAUCAAUUUCACGAGCCCUUAAGACUUGAUUCCUUCCGAUCGUAAGUUUCCCAAGCCAGCUACCUAAAUUUUUUAACAACGAACGCUCCUCUGAGCUUGAUUUUAUAAGCUCCGACCCUAGAAGAACCUGAGAAGAUAUUCACAGGCAUUGGGUAAGGCUGCCAUGCAAUUAUCUCCAACUGCACAAAUAUGAAAUACAUGACAUACCUUGCAGUUCUCAUACGUGGCUUGAACAAUCUCUUUAUUCAAAGCCUUCGAAUUAAGUUUGUCCAGAAAUUUCAGAUACAUGUCAUGAAAAUUUGGCUCAAUGCUUGCCCUGCCAAGAGUUAGGUAGGUAGCAGAUAUUCAGAGUCACGACAAUAAUCAAAUAAUAGAGCAACAAACAUUGAACAAUACAACAUAUGAAUUGGUAUUAUAUGUUAAGCACCCACCUUUUCAUAACCAUAUACUGUGCAAACCAAGGAUAGUAUUGCUCUUUCAGUAUCUCAGAGAACUCCUUUGACUUGACUUCAAUAUUAGCAAGUGAUAUAUUAUUAACUAUAAAUAAUACUUUGUCCUGAAUCUCUGCUGGAGCCUGUAGAAAUCAUACUUAGUAAAACACUUGUAUUCAACAAAAUAAGCAUCUUCUCUGAAACUACAAAUCAACAAAACAAUCAACCACCGACAAUCGAAGAUAGCACCUCACUAAAUACAGAUGCAUUAAUAAUCCACAAUAGCAACAAUGUUGGUUAGCACCUAAGACUAAAUGGCAAUACAGUCGGGUACGUGGGACGCUACACAAGUUAUUAGAAACUUAAUGCCAAUAUGCAUAUCCACAAACUUCAAAUUAAAUACAUAUACUUCUCUAGUUUAAACUUCUCCAACGCAUAUGACAGUGAAACAAAAAUCAACACAUACUAUCACACAUCGUCCUGCAGGAUAUAUAAGGCUAACAGGAUACCUCAACGGGAGCGUCUCUUUUCUCAGCUGCUGCAACCAAUGUUUCAAUGCUCAAAGCGGAGCCAAACCCUGUAUUGCAUUGCAAAGAAUUUGUAAUGAACACCACAGGUAUGAUGAUUACUUAGAUGAGGAGGUAAGAAAAAAAAACUGAAAAUUACUGGUAGAGGUAGCUCCUCGUGAUGGACGAACAAGACCAGGGGAAACAGUGGACAACAUUGAUGGAGCACUAACUGCAAUUUGUAACUGCAAUCAUCCAAAAAGGAAGAAAGAAAUGUGAGAUAUGAGAGCUCGAUCGUAGCAUCUAAUCCAGCGGAAGAGAAGAAGGUAAGCAUGCAUACCUUCUGAAUACUCGGAGCAUCACCAACAGGAGCUGCAGGUUGCAUCGCAGAAGAUAAAAGUGGUUUUACCUCAUUCGAUGAAGUUGAGGACUUGAGACGAUCAUCAAGAGAGCUUUCAUGUCUCUGUUGGAGCUGGAGUGAAGAAGAUAGCGUCUGCCCAGUUGGUAAGAUGCUAGAUCCAUUUAACUGAAACAUUGAGACAGCAAGCAAGAAGGCAAAAUAGACAUGGAUAAGUUGCAAGUUCCAGCAAUUUAUUAAAAAACUCAAAACAAGAUAUUAAAACUGUGAUCUUGAAAACGAACCAAAAGAAAUGGCAUCCUAACAGACUGCAUCAAAAAGAAUAGACAUACACUUUAAAAGAAAAGGUUGACAGAAUGAGCAUUUGUGAGAAAUAUGAAUUAUUGAAAUGUUACAGAAAGUGAUAAUAAAAACGACCUUUGGGUCUUUAAAUAGUUAACAAAGAAGAAUAUUGAGGUUUAUUCUUACUCUUUACCAGAGAAGAUGGAAAAUAUAUGUUUUCAUGCUUUGCGGGCAAAGCUUACAAGACCUCUGUUAUUUCAUACUAAUUGGUAACAAACAUAAAUUUGACACAAGUCACAAAUCCGACAACACUUACCUCCACAUUUCCUGAGGUAACUUGACUGGGGCCGUGAUGAUGAACUGCAGAAGCAUGGUUACUUCCCUCUGGAUCUGAAUUGCCGGAAGAAAUCCUGGCAAGAGCCUGUUCAAUGAAUACCACCAGCUCUGAAUGAGUAUUGCGCAAAUGGGAUAUCUGAAGAAUGUGAUUGCAAUACUGUGGCCACUCAAUCAGACGCUCCACAAACUGCUCCAAAGCCAUGGUUCCGAACACAAACAUCUGCAAGUUGAGAAACCCAUUAGCAAUGUAAUGAUAUGAAAAUGUAAUGGGAGAAGUUCAAAAGAGAAAAUACAUACUUUUGAAUCUGCAGGUUUGCGCAAUGCAUCUAAAACACCACGCAGAGCAAUCCCUAGAGUCAGAUGAGUUACAAGCUGCUGCUUGAUGACAGACCCUGAGAUAUGAUUGUGGUAACAUUACAUGCAGGAAAACAGAUUCAAUAAUAUCAAUUAGAAUAAAAAUGUAACAGUAAUUUUCACAAAAAUCUGAGAAAAAAUUAGUCUACUGAACCACAAACAUUUAGGUUCUGUGGCUGCAUAUUUUUAAACUUUCUAUAAGCUCAAAGAAGCUCAAGGGUCUAAAUAUAUUCUCAGCUUUUAACACAAGUUUAACAAUGUUGGAGAUAAUAUUUCAACAGUGAGUAUAUUAAGUAGAGACGAGCAGGAAAGGAAAAGGGAAGAGACUAUCGUUUUUGUUUCUUUUUUUUAUUCAAGAUUGAAUAGCAGUCAUGCCAACACUUGCUCCUCGCUGGUUAAAGUUGGACUUUUGUUAUCACAUGCGUAUUGAUUAUUGUGCCAUAAGAUCCUGAACCAUAUAUAAUCAAUAGAUGGACACACAUUGACCCAUAUAUUUCACACAGACCCAAACAAAAAAAAACAUGUCAUCUAAUUUAUCCAUAAACUGAAGCUCAACCACAAACAGUGAUGAUGAAGAUCCAUUAUACAUAACAUUACAAUACACAACCUAAACUUCUAGGUCCAGAGCAAAAGGUUAAACACGUAUUUGGACUAAAUGUAUCAUUGAUAGCUAUCUUACAACAAAACUCACCAAAUAAAAUCGCGGCAAUUUUGAGCUGUCUUUCAGGAUACUUCGGAAAGAAUCUAUACUCCUCAAACAGAUUGGCAAUCAUGCACUCAAAAAUGGAUUGUUCCCUGUCAUUUGAUGCAAGAAAAAAUUUGUCGAUCCAAAACAUGCUAAAUGAAAAUAGGCUAAGCAGAUAUCAGUAAAAACCUCCAGUUGCAACGCACACUAAACGAACAAAUUCUAUAAAGCUAUCUCUAUAACUUUCUAAAUCAAAAUGUCUUAAAAUGUCUUACUUUUAGAAGUAAAAGUUAUACACCAAUAUUGUACAUAUGGAACAUAAGACAAUGAAAUUGUCAAAACCAGCAUGGCUCCUCCCACUGGGGGCUGGAAUGGAUAAUUCAUUACAAAUAUACAAGCUUAGACGUACAUUAUUACUCUCAAACCAAAAUAAUCAACAACUAGAAAAUAGUAUCCUGGGUACUUCAACUAUUCUAUUGUAAAUCGAUAAAAUUCUUCACCAAAAGAGAAUAAAAGAAUAUUAAGGAUUUCAAAAUUAUUUGAGGUAAUCAGAUGCAAAAGCUCUAAUCUACAUACCUUUGUACAGAAGAUUCUUUGAAACGAGCAAGCAUUUGGACCAUUGAUUCAAUAGUCAACUGACCAGAAAACAUUUGAUGGAAGUAAGAGUUGGCUUCAGUUUCAAUAUCAUCUGCAUAUCCAUCUGUUGAUGACUCUGUAGACCCACCAUUCGGUAGCCUUGGAUUAGAAUCCAUAAUCGACACAGAGAGUUUCUCCAAGUCCUCAGUAAGGUGGCUAGAAGUAAUCUGCCCGACAUGAGCUUUCAGAACCUACAAUCAAACAUACAGAUGAUAAAAUUCUGCAUACUAGAUAAUAUAUUUCCACAUUAGAGAAAGCAGAGCUGCAAGCCAGGUUGUAGAACCUUUGAGAAGGUAGCAGUAGUGUCCCCAUAGAGAGUUGAGACAGCACCAGAAUGUUGGAAAGGUCUGGUAGAGAAAUCUUGGGUCCCACCAGCUUGAAUCUCCUUUAGGAACUUGAGGCACUCCUGAAAAGUUCUUAGGUUUAUUUAGCAGUAAUACAUUUAGGGUAUAUAUAAACUGCACAAGGACUCAGCAUACGGAGAUAAUUGUGGCCCAAUUAUACAGCAGGGAACAGCAUCCAAGAGUACAUUACCUCAAAGAAAGUAUCUUUAUAUGUAAUCAAAUUACUGUUCAACCACUUCUCCAGUUCUACAAGCUCUUUUCUGAAAGCAAGGGCCGCCAGUCUGAUACUAAAGGGAGAAGGAAUCAUCUCCAUGACGGACGACAAAAUCUACAAAUAGAAAAUAAUUACCACAUAAGUAAGAAAUAAUAGCUAUUCCACCAAAGUCUGGAAAGAAAAAAGGCAAGCUGCAAUAAAGAUUUGCAACAGAUAACUGGAAAGGAGACAUUUCACAAGUUCAUUCGAGACUCACCUUAAGCUCUUGACAGAUGUCCAAUAUCCUAGUCAUGCUCUCUGGAUCACUAUUGUAAGUAUCCAUAAAUCCCCGGAGCACCAAAGAGGGGUUAGUAUGCCAGAGGUGAACGAUCAUGCCAUUGCCCAUGACAUUUUUUACUAUCAUGGGGAAAACAAUAAAAGACACUUCAUAUUGCAGCAGGUUGUAUGGAGUCUGUAGACAUGAAGAUAAAUUUAUUAACUGUACAGGGAUAACAAAGGUUCAGAUUAAUGCCCAAAUAAAUUUCACUAUGUACAUUAAUAUGUGCCAUCCCAAGAAGCAGGACUUCAGGACAGUGUUGAAGAGGAUACUCAAGUAUCGAUCGAACGGAAAGAGCAUGACCCCUCUCUGCUAGGUGACAAAGUACAUCCAAAAGGUCUAGACACAACCAUGCAUGAUUUGCAUGCCCAAGUUGUAGCUUGUGACCAUUCACUGCAUCCACAUAGGGCUGAAAAAGAUGACAGGUAAUUUAGAACAGUCAAAGUCAUAUAGAACAUAAGCUGAAUAGACCAAAGUUAAUAACACAUAAGCGGAUACAGGUAAGCUGGAUGAAUACAGGAUCUUACCAGCUGCCUAACAGAGUGAGCAAAGUUAAAUACUUCAGGUGGUGAUGAAACAGCAUGUUUGAGAAAUGAUAGCUGACCGUCAGUAUUCUUCCAAACAGACCCACAGAUAGCAUGUAGGGGGAAGGGCUCCUGCAGAGAUCCAGACAUAGGGUCAAUACUGCCCGAAACAUCCUGUUUUGCAUAUUACUACUCUUAAAAUUGCAAUGUGCAAGACUAACCUGACAGACAUGCUGAUAUACAGACAUGAAAAAAGAGAAUGCCUCCUUAUUAGGAAUGUAGAAGCCCUCGUGAUCCAAAUUUUCAAUAACACUUAUCCAGUUGGUGUCCGGAGCCUGUAAUCAUAACACAGAGAUAAAAAGAUGAAUUUCCUUCACUAAGCCAUAACCAAACAAAAGAUCACAACAUUAGAAGUGGACUCACAAGUUGAUUGAUCGUAUCCACGAGGACAUCAAUGUUCCAGGUGUUUAGCAUAGGCAAAUCAGAUGAAGUGCUGUAACCCAUUGCCAAUCGAAAGGUUGAAAACGUAUUCUGAUUAUCCUCGAGACCAGCAUGGGUGCAGGCAAUUGUGCCAAGUAUUUUGGAGAUAGUAAUCUCAUUGAGAGGUAAGAAAAGGGAUAAAAUCUCUUUGCACUGGGAUGAAUCAACUGUGCAUCCAUAACCUAAUUCCUUCAUAAUAUCUCCCAUGCUCAUCUCCUUCUCCAUUUCAGCUAAAAUCGCAUCAAAAUCAUUUUCUCCACUUUCAUGGAACAAAUCCACGUUCCUGCAGAAAGGCAAAAUUUAUCGAGUAAAAAGUAUACAUUUUAUCAUAACAAAGGAAUAGGAAAGGCACGAUAAAGGAUUGUCAUCUAAAAGCCGAUUUGAAUAGUAAUAUACCUCAAAAAAUUGUCAUCACGAAGCUCAUUUGAAAGCAAUGGACUUAACACAAAUGAGCUUUCAUCAUCUUUCAGCUGCAGUAAAGAUAACAUCUGCAUAAAGGAAUCUACAUGCUUGGAAAGACCCUCAGACCGCUGGAGGAACAAAACAAUACUCUGAAUUUUCUCGGAAGAGAUCUUGUCAACAGGAGUUUCACAUAAUUGCUCAAUCUGAGCCAUACAGAAGUUCUUGCCUGCAAACAAACGAAACAUUAAAUACACAGCAGAAUAGAAGAAGCAAAAAUAAAAUUCAUCAACCAACAAUAUUUCAAACUUUUCACCCAAAAAAAAAAAAAAACAAUAUACAAACCAACAGUCCAUAUAACCUUAGCUCACCACAUAUUCUGGUGUCUAGGUUUUCUGAAUCUGACAAGGCAAGACCAAUGCCAAUUUUCUCAGGUACAGACAGUUGCAAUGCACUCGAGAAAUUCUCAACAAUUCCUUCAUUGACCUCUGUAUUUCUUAGUGAUUCACAGAACAUAGUACUGAAAUUUGGUUGGUCAAUGAGAUAUUUGAAAAGUGAGGCAAGAACCCGUUCCAGUGCCACAUUCUUUAUAUCUAUUCUGUAAUGAUUCAGAUGAUCCAGGCAGGUUUGGAGCAGCAAAAUGCUUCCCUCAAUUCCAUAUUCAAUAAACUGGCAUGAAACAUCAGACUACAUCAGCAAGAGCUCAGGUGGAAUGCAAGAUUUAGAUAACCUCAAAAAAGCUUAUUGCAACGUUUUAUAAUCUAUCCUAAAUACAGCAUAAUUUUAUAAUAUAUGAUUACAAGGAUUUGGCUCAAAGUUUUAAGCUUCAUCCUCAGAGAAUUCAAUUGCCCAUGUUUAAGAGUUACAUAUAUUGCAGACUACACUAAAUGUGUUGUGCACUAUCAACCAUUCACUCAGCCGCAAACAUGAAUUUAUUAUGCCACAAAUAUGUGUAUGUAUUCAAGUUUCAAAUAUGGACUACAGAAGCUCAACAGUUACUAGCGCUGUCAAACAAAACCAAACAGUAUCCUCAACUAGAGUCUAUUUCCUGCAAGCCCCAUCAGAAAUCAUACAAAUACUAAACAAAGAGCUGCAUGCUGGAGAAAUCUGACUAUCAAAAUAUCUGACGCAACCCCAUAUGAUACUAUUACAACUAUAAAAACAAACAAAAAACACUACAGCCAAUAUGAUUUUUGCAUAUAAGUGCUACUUCAACACUCUCUUACUUCAAUUGUCAGUGCCCUGCCACCCUAUUUUGCCCUAGAAGUUCUACAAUACAUAUUCCAGUAAAGAACCACCGGCCUAAGGCACCGUAGCUUAUCAGUCCACGACACUCCAGCAGAAGCAUUGCCUACCGAUUUAGCUGCUGUAAACCAAACCUUACACAACAACUCGGACUACAUUCACCAUUUUGUACUGUAAUCUCUCAAAAACCUUUCGAUUUCAGCACGUUUACUUCAUAUCCAAACCACUAAAGCUAAGCAUUCAAUCACACCAUACAGCAACACUAUCACGUUUCAAAAAAUAGCAUAUAGCUCACUCAGAGUAAACUAAGCCGAUGAAUUAAACCCUAGGUUUCAGUCCUAAUAGUCUCACUAAAAUUCCGAAAACCGAAAAAAAAAAAAAAAAAAAUAAUUGAAGUUCCGUCCAAAUUCAAAACACUCCAAAAUCAAAAUAGUGAAUUCUAGGGCUCCGAGAACAAAGAAUCGCAAGAAAACAGAGCCGGAAUUGAAGAGAACGAGAGAGGUAGUACCUGAGUGAGCUCGCGGAGAACAGAGUCGGAGUUGGCGUCGUUGAGGCUUUGGAGGAGGAAGCGAAUCUGGUUCGCAGUGGUCUGCGAAAACUUGAGCAUCGCGAAGACGAUGAAGGAUUGCGAGAUAGGGUUUGCUGGAGAUUGGGGAAGAGCAGAGGUGGUGGGUGGGUGGGUGGGUGAGACAGCAAUUUUGGAGAGGACGGAAGGGUAUUUGUGGGAUUUUCCGAGAGUCGUCGACAAGCGCAAUGGUGUGUGAGAGAGAGUUUUGGUUUCAAUGGGUGAGGGGUCUGAUCUGAAAUCGGAGUGUGCAUAAUAUAGUGGUGAUAUCUUAUGGGCCCCCACACUGUGAUCCUUCUUCCGUGAAUUUUUGCUCCCCUCACCUGCGGGUUGUUUGUAUCAGAAGGAUGUCACCGUUUUUUUUUUCCUUUUUUUUUUCUUAUCAACAAAAAUUUUAUUAAAAAUACGGUUAGUAAGACCUUCAAAUUUGCUCAGUAUAUCUCUCAUACUCUUUACACCUCUCUUUUAAUUUUAACCACAAGCAUUUAUUCACUAGAUCUCUUUUCAAAUUUCUAAAAUAACCUUAGAUAUAUUAUUCACAUAUAUCUUGAUAAUUUACUCAUUAUAUCUCUUAUUUAUUCUCUAGACUUCUCAUUUUUUAAUUUUUUUUACUUUUUCAUACUAUCAUCGAGACCUCUAUUCCUUGCUUUUUUUUCGUUCAAACCUCUUUCACGAUCUCAAUUCCUUGAUAUUUUUUAUUUCUCAUAGAAUGUCACUAAACCUUCAUUAUUUGAUCAAUUUGUAAGAAAGAUUUUUCAAUGACGACAAAUUUUCUCUUAAAAAUCAAAUAACACAAAAUAUUGGGUUUCAAAAACUUAUAUUUUCCAGUUCAGUACCGUCUCUCAUUACAAGUGAGAGGUCGUGAGUUCGACUCACAGUAAACUCGUUGUAACAAAUUAGUUGUUUAUCUGAUAAAAAAAAUAAAAAUAUAUUUAAUUACCAACAAGAAAAUAUUCUAACAUACAUUAGCUUUUCUUUUUCUAUUUUAGUUCUGUUAAAUAACAAUCAAGGAUAACAAUUGUAUACUAUGUAUGUUCUUUUUCCCUCUAUUUUAUGUACAUCAUGAAAUUAUUUUAAUAGUUAUUUAAUUUUACAUUAUCGAUUUGUUUAUAUAUAUAUAUAUAUAUUCACCUUGUAUAUAUAUGUUUUCGACAUGUAUGAUAGUAGAAAAUUUUAUGUCACACAAUCGAUAUUGAUCACAGUUUUAGCUCUAAUUAAAUAUAUAAUAUGUAGUAAAAUUUAAAAAUAAUAAAAUAAGAAAAUAAAAUAAUAAAAAAUACAAUCAAUUAAUUAUCCAAUUGGAAAGUCUAAAGAGAAUAAAUAUAUUCUUUUUUGUAUGAUUAUUAUCCUUAAUAGUCAUUAUGUAAGAUGAGAUAAUUGUCAUUUAGUAAUUCAUAAUAAAUGGAGGUCAAGUGAGUAAAUUUGAAGGUCCUAAUAACCGCACUCUUUUAUUAACACAUCCCUAAUUUCUAAAUACACAUCUUCUUCUUUUUUAUCAAACAAACAACUGAAAUGAUACAACGAGUUUAUCGUUAGUCGAACUGAAGACCUCUCACUUACAAAGGGGAGACUAAUGUCGCUAAACCAAAUCGUAUUGGGCAAUACACAUCCCAUUUUGUUGUAAAUUUUUGAAUCACCAUUCUACCCCUUUUAAAAAAAAUACAGUAAAGUUUCUCCAAUUUCAGCUACAUCGGUACAUGAUAUUGUUUAUCAAUCAUACCAAGCAUUUUGGGACAUAGAUGAAUAGUGAAUAAAUAGGAAAACACAUAACCAUGUUAUGAAUUCAAGCAUUGGAAUCCAUAAUCAUUAGAGCUCUUUAUAAAAAGAAAAUGAUGAUGUAUACAAGAAGCUUGAAAAUGUUGAUUGAAUUGGCAAAAAGGUGUUGAAAACAUACAAUAUGUGUUGUUUCAAAUAUUUAAGUUAAUUUUAUCUAAAUUUAUUGAGAAUUUUGUGAUAUUAGGCUUGUCAAUUGAAUUUGUAGGUCAUAAUUGUUUCUAAAUUAUAAGAUUUCUCCCUAGAAAAUGGAGGGGGAAGAGGGAAAUUAGACCUCUGGAGGGAGGGAUGAUUGAGAAUGCAUGAAUUUUAUAUAAUGUAGACCUCGUUCGAAUAUUGUAUGUUAAAAAAAAUUUAUAUAAUGUCCAUUCACUCCAACAUUUAUGUAACAUCCUGAAGUAGCAUAUUUUGUGUAUUAGUAUUAAUUUUAGUUUUAUUAAGUUUUUGGGUAUUUUAAUUUUUGUUUAAAAAAAAAAAAGAGCUGCGUUCAGAAAGAGAGAACGCAAUCUCUCUUUUCUUUUGGUUUAAUCGCUUUGUUGAAGGCAAACAGGAGGUGUCGAUCAAUUAGAUAACCAUAUGAUAGCUGGCUAGUCUAGACCAAUAGGAGGAGAAUUGUGAAGUCGGCCACAGGUUGAAAGUCAACCAAAGUUUUUGACAAAACCGUUAGAGAGAGAGAAGCAGAGAGAGAAUUCUGGGGAGGCCAGAAAUUGGAAGAGUUGUGGAGUGAGAGAGAAAACUCUUUCCAAUUCGUUUUUUUAAGGUAAAACUCAUAUCAUCUUCUAGCAAUUUCAAUUUCGUAGUUUUAUUUAUGGUUUGCUUUGGUUCUUGUUUCUUAUUCCUGAGUAAGCAUGAUUCCUUUGUUUGCUUCUAGUUGGUAAUUUCGAAUUCUCAGACUUGUAUAGAUAGGAAUCCAAAUUCAAAUCAAUUGUUUUGUUUUUAUUAGAAUCAUUAUUGUUGUUGCUCAAGGUUCUUGAGUUUGGGUGUCCAAAUCAAAUUUUGGAUUCUUUUGAUUCAACUGUUUGUUAUGUUUAAAAUGAUUUCGUGUUCUGGAAAUAUGUUCCUUUCCUUUAUGAAGCUUUUGAACUUGUGUUGUUACUUCAAGAGUCGAAUUAAAACUUUCAAAAUCAAGUUUUAAGGUUGCUGCAAAUUUCCAGAAUUCUGUAAAAAAACUUAUUUUCUUACCUACUUUGAGGCAUGAUAUCUUUCAGCUCAGGCCUUUGUUUUGAAAUCCGAAAGUACCUUUGUAAAGCUCAUAUAUUCAUCUUUGUGUGUGUUAAAUUUUAGAGGAUUUGGUUAACAUUUGGUUUGUCAAAUUGCUUGCCAAAAACAGUAGCAGAUUUAGCCAAAAGCUGAAUUUUCUGUGUUUUCAUAUUUUUGCUUCAACUUUGAGAGAGCAUAACUUCCUAUCUAGGGCUUUGUUUUCAAAACUUAAGCUAUGUACUUAAAGCUUGUAAUCCCAUCGUUACAAUAGGCUUUGGUUCAUAAAUUUUUUUUGGAUUUGAGUGAGUGGAAAGUGAAAUAAAAAACAACAUCUUACACAUUGUUUUGACACAAGGUUGACAAAUGCCUUGUUCUAACUCAAUCUUUUCUUUAACAGUUGAUUCUUAUGUUUUGUAGUAACUUUUUAUACAACUUUUGAGUACUGUGCGGUAUCUGUUUUAAAGUUUGGAAUAGUAGAGUUCUUUAUGUGACAAUUGUUACUUGUAACAUAGUAUUAAAUCUAGUUUUUCAUUGUGGUAUGUACUUUACCUUUUGGGUAAGGUUUCGGAGACGAUCUUGGCGAUCCACCAAUCUAAGAAGUGAAGUUGAGCUUGAGUUUGUGCUGUGCAAAUCGAGGUAAGGUUUAAUGGGGUGUUUUCUUUUAUUAUGUUAUUAUAUGAAUUGUAUGGUUAUUGCUUGAGUUGUUUGAUAUUGGAUUGUUUGAUAUUGAAUUGUUUGACAUUGAAUUGUGUGGCACUAUUUAAAUUAAAUGUGGAUGAUAUUAAGAUCUUGAAUUGAUUACGAUAUGUCUAUAUUUGAAAGCAUGAUCAUAUUACAUGAUAUUGUGGGGAAUGAGUGAGGUUGGAGGUGAAAAGGAGAAUGAGUGUUUGGGAGGAUAUGAGAUAUUACUAUUGAAAAACCUUUUGUGUAGUUGAGUUUCCUCAUGGGUUGUCCAAGAUCCACGCUAGCCCACACGUGCACAAGUUUGGGGAAUGUAGGCCCUUCGAUGGCGGAUAUCGAUAAAACGAUCUUAUCAGGUUUCGGGUUUGGAGACCAUGAGUAUACCAGAAUGACUAACAAAAGAGAAAAAUCUAUUUGAAAGUGAUGUGAGGUGUGGGAAGAGAAUUGAGUCAAUAUUAUAUUCAUGCAUUCUCGAUAUGCUAUGUUGUUUGUUUGCUUAUGUUUGAUGAUGUGUUAUUAAUAUUUUAACUAGCCCUACUAAGUGUUACUCACCCCUUUAUCAAACCCAUUGCAUGUGUGGUUCUUGAAGUGUAGGAAAAUUGUUAUUGUAAAUUAAGGCUUUCAAGUUUUUCUUUUGUAAGAUAGAGCUUGAAUAAAGAAUGGACAUUUUAGAAAUAAACGCUAUUCUUGUUUGUUUGUAACGUUUUAAACUUGUGUGCCUUAAGUGCCUUUUUAUAAGGCUUGUAAUAUAAAUAAAGGAAUAAUCAAGGUAUAAUCAAAUUUGUAAAAAGCUGGAACUAUAUUUUUUUUUAAAUUCUGCAUCAGUUACCUUUCUUUCUGAAAACCGUAUAGUUUUGUUUGGAAUUUGAAGUUAGUUUCUUCAUAAGAUUUGUAGUAGACAUCUUAAGGUUCAUUCCAGAAUUUGAAUCACUUGAAAACGAUUUUUGUAGAUUAAGUUAGGAUUUUUCAAAGUUUAAGGUUUGCAUCAGGAAAUUCUGCAGAUCAGUGUUUCUGAGAUUUUGGACCAGUUACCUUCUUUCGAAAAACUGUACAAAUAAGUUAAUUUUUUGCACUUGGUGUCUUCAUGAAAGUUACAGUAAACAUCUUAAAGAUCAAUUGAGAGUUGGAAUCUCUUGAAAAUAAGUUUUUUAGAAUUAGUUAUGAUUUUUCAAAGAUACAUGUCUGCUGUAUUUUUUUGAAACAACAGUCAAGUUCUUAUUUCUUUUACUAGCUAGCUUUUCUUUUCAUUCCAGUCAUACCUUCGACUCAAAAAAAAUAUAUAUCCGGGUUAGGGUGUGACAUGUUCGGAUUAGGACUCCUAUUAUCUAGAGUGGUGGUGGUGUUUGCUUAAGAAAGUGAAUGGUGUCAAAUUAAGUAGUUAUAUUCCAAGUAUGGUGACUCAGGACUCUCUCGAUUAAAAUUUUUCUUAUAUAUACAAAUAAGAUUGUAUGGCUGUGGUAGGCGGUAUGGCGUAAAUGGACACUCUUGCUACUCUUUGCCGGUUAUGACAUCAAUUUUGGUAAAGAGGUAGUUGGCAUAGUGACCGGUCAUCAGGUUUGUGUUUUCUAGGCCCACGUAAUUGUUUUCGGAACAAAAUUGAUGGUUAUGAUCUUAUUUUUAUUUUACCUAUGUACGUAGUUUUCAAAUACUUGCUAUAAAAUUAAUAUGUUAUUUACAUGUUUUUAAACCUAACCGGGGUGAAUUCCUUACUGAGUAGCGAGGACGAAAACUCACCCCUACAACAAUUUUGGAUGCAGGUACUGUGCACUUGAACGAGACAAUACUGGAGUGAGCUGGGUGUGCUAAUGAAAUUAUUUUACUCAUGAUUUGUUUAUAUUACUUUUUCAAGUUAUGUAUCCUUAAUUCAUUUUAAAUAUAAUUUAGUCUAGUAUAUUUCUAGGACAGUAAGUUGUUUCUAAGUUAACCUUUGUUUUCGUCAAAAUGUUCUUAAGUUAUAACGUAUUUGUGAAGGCAUUAAAAAUCGCCUCAAAUCUUUUACUCAACUCUUCCCGUCUCCUUUCAGAAUUUUGUUUCCUUUAAAAUUAUUAUUGUUAUCUUACUCGAUUAACUUGCUUUGCUUAUCUCUAGGUCACUAGUUGAGUUUACUUAGCUAGUGAUCCUAAAGAUAUGCGACACUGUAACUUAGUCAAUUUGAUGAGGUGCAAAUCGGGGCGUUAUAGGAGCCCACAAUCAAAUAGAGACAGAUCGUAGACAAAUAUUCUAAGCAAAAGAAGAGAAAUAAAAUAAAUGUUUAGCAAAAACACGUCUCUUUGAAUUAAAGCCUCAUGGAUCCUAAAUGCGGAGACUUAGCAAACCAAAGGUCAUUUCAACUGCCCUUAAGAAAGUCCAAUUAACAUUCAGAGCUCUAGGAUUAGCCCAUUUAGGUUUCAAACCUCCAAUUAGGCCCCACUCGAAUCUUACUAUGGGUACCCAAGUUGGGCUUGAAAUCACAUGUACCCAAUUUUACAUGUGCCCAAGGUUCUAAAACUCGCUACUCGGUAGUCGGUCGGCCGGCCGGUGAGUAGCGAGUAGAGGAGUACUCGGCCGAGUACUCGGGGAGUACUCGGAUUCUAAUUUCUGGAUUUUUUUAUUAUUUUUAAAACAGAUAAUCUAAUAUAUAAUGUCUAAAAUAAUAAAAAUAGUCCAUAAAAUAUUACAAUAUUUAAGAGAUAAUAAUGUCUAAAAAUAAAACAACCAUUAGUCCAUUACAAUAACAUAAGUAAUAAAAGCAAACCAAAUUCAAUUCUUGCAAACAAUCCCAAGCAUAUGUAACUAUGCCUCAAAUUCUUCUUCUCCAUAUCCAUCUUGUAGUCCCUCCGAAUCCGACUCAAAAUCAAAACUCAAGUCAUCUAUUUCCUCUUCAUCAUCGGAUAUAAAAUCAUCCUCAUCAAGUUCCCUAAUUUCUUGGAUUCUAGGACCUCUCCUAGGCUCUAAGCCACCAUCCACUCCCGAUUCCUCUCCAACCCUUUCACUAGGAAGAUCCAAAACAACAUCAUCAUCACCACCAUCAACAAUCCAUCCUUGUGAAAGGAGGCGGACUGGGCGAGAGGAGGCGGACUGGGCGAGAGGAGAGGGCGGGGAGGGCGAGCCGGCGAGGUGAGGGAGAGCGACUGCGCGACUGAGAGCGACUGAGAGCGACUGAGAGCGACUGGAGCGAGAGAUGAGCGACUGAGCCUUUGGAGCGAGAGACUAGAGACAAAUCGAGUUAUUAGGGUUUCAAAACGACGUCGUUUGCCUCUUUCUUUUUUUUUUUUUCGGCUGACCGAGUUGACCGAGUUGGACCCGAGUUGGACCGAGUACUCGGCCGAUUUUCUGCUGGCCGACUAGAGGCACUGAGUAGGCCAAAAUCGCCACGGUGACUAGCCGAGUACCGAGUACUCGGCGAGUACUCGGCCGAGUUGACCGAGUUUUAGAACCUUGCAUGUGCCACCAAUCACAAUUGGUCAUGUGUAAUUCCACUCAACAAUAUAAAACAUAAGCCUAACUCUGUUAAUCUUAAUUAAACUUAAUAUUUCACUAAAAAGAAAAAACUAUAAAGAAAAAGAAAGAACACUCCCAAGUCCCAAUCUCUACGCUCUUCUUCAUUGUCUGUCAUCGUCUGCCUUUCUGAGCUUGAGGAGAAGAUGACUCCGACUUCAACUGCGACAUAGACCAAAACGACGACAACUACGAUGAAGACCCAUUCUCCAACUUCAAUUUGGUUCCACUAUUUUGCAACCUUUUCAGGCAAUAGAGAAUUGUUACGAAUUGAAUUUGGUUUCACUCGGUCCAAAAUUUGAAGCUUUUGAAUUGAUAAUACAAGCCAUCGUCUGCAUUCAUCGUCUGCAUUCAUCUUUCUAAGAAGUAAGGGUUGUCGGAAGUUGGAAAGAGAAUGAGGAUAUUGGUCCCAAAGAGGCAAGUAAGGGUUUAAUGACUGCUAAUGAUGAUGAUGACAUUGAUGGAAAGGAAGCUGAUAGAAAGAAUUUAAUCUAGCUUUUCACAGGUUUAGAGAAAAACCCAGACAUAUAAGAAGAGAGGAAAAACGAAGAAGGUCUCCUGGAGAUGUUGAAGGUUUUUUCUAUCCUUAUUCUUUUAGUAAAAAACUACACAUAAUUAAAUUAAAAGAGUUAGUAUUUAACAGAGUAAAUGUUGAGUGGAAAAUGUAACACCCUGACCCAGAUUAACAGAAACAGAAUGACCCAAAAAUAGGGUCUCCAGAACAUAUAAAUUGUACCAAUUAGAUCUUACCAUUGUGCAAGCCUGAAUAAGCAAUUGUCUAUCUAUGUUGAACUCAGACAACAAACCUCCAUCAGAGUGAUCAAGAGAACUGAUCGACGAGCCUCCCUCCCAACAGCUAAAGAUCAAUUAGUGGAGGAAGUCGGUGUGAGAGGUAAACUCGAGGGCGAUGUCGGGGUCGAUGUUCUCCCUCUUUUUUUUAUUUUCCUUCCUCCGUCUACCAGGACCCUCAGAGAUUUUAGAUCCUUCAGAAAAUAAAAAGAUAGAAUCCAAGUCAAGGUUGAUGCCCCCUUCUUCUCGACCCUUCUUCCCAACUCUAGACAACUUUUUUUUCUUUUUCUUUUAGAACCGACCUCUCUAGAAUCCUCCUCCCACUCCUACUAUUAUUUAUCAAUUGUUUAUAUAUAUACACAUAUAUUUUGUUUAAGAGAGUGGGUAUACAUAUACAUGUGUACUGUUACAAGACGAGUACCCUGAAAAGUACGAGCAGCUUUAAAGUUAUCGAAGUAUAACUGUAUAACACACACUUCCGUUAAUGUUCUUUAGAUACACAUCGAUUAAAUUAAUAGUGUCGAUUUUAUUUUAUUUUUUAUUUUUUAUUUACCAUAUUGAGCACUCAAUCACUAUUAUUUACAUUAUGUACGGGAUAUUACAGAAAACAUGGGUCACAAUUUGGUAUGUGGCACAUGUUCGGCACAAGAUUUUUGGGCAGAGGUGAUUUACUCCCCCUAGGUUGGGCAGGGCCUCAAACCAAGUUUGGGCUUUGAGAACACCCGGCCUGGCUUGCACCACCGUCGAGUUCCAUCUAGAGCCUCUGUCCCGGUCAUCACCGCCGCUGCCUUCACACCGAUCACAAACUGCCUUUCAAAGCAUAUGAACGUCAAAAGCCUCGUUAGUCUCAUUCGAGUACCAAAAGCAUAUUUCCAUUUGGAUCCACCCAUCAAAUAAAAAACGAUCUUUCGCGCUCCCAUACAACCACCAACAUGAUCGAUGUAACCACCAGGCGUGCUUCGCUUGCAAAGAAACCCGGAUCCAAUCGCGAAGAAGCUUCUAAUGAUCAUGAAAAGGUUUGAGUCUUGCCCUUCUUGGUCGAAUUCUCAAGCCUAAAUUCCACACGCGGUCCUCUCCAAUCUCCUCCGAAUCGUUAAGGUGAUAAAAUCGUGCAUUGGGAGCCACCAUAUGAUGGUUGGGGUGGGUUGUUGAGGUCCAACCCCCAACUAGAGUAACGAAUGACAUCGAUCUCCAUGAUUUGAUCACCGCGCAUAAGCGGUUGGCUUUUGAGAGCCACGCUAAUGUGGCUACAACAACCUGGAGCAUGUUGCAGAUGCGAUGAUGCUGAAGAGGUUUCAGCUUGAUGGCGACACAAAAACGGUGGCCUUAGAGUCUCUAGUGUUUGGUGGCCGUGAUGGAUGGCGACUUUAGGAAUUUUUUUUAUAAAGUUGUAUUAGUAACUUAUUUGAAAUAGUGAUCUUGUAGUUUACUAUUUUUGAAUUUUUAUUUUUCAUGUUAUUUGAUUAAGGACAAAAAGUAUUACGAAUAAUAGGUUAUGUAAUCAAAACCGAACCGAUAUCAGUUAACCGAUAAAAACGGUUUUUAUAUACUUCUAUCAGUUUUGAUAUUAGAAAAUAGAAAAUCAAAAUAUCGGUUACAGUUUCCGGUUAUUGUCUUAAAACUGAACCGAAGGGAACGUGUCCAGCAAUUGAAAUUCAUAUAAAAUUAUCAUUCUAUUUCAAAGAAAAAAAUUUAAAAAAAAAAAAAAAAAAACUCAACUCUAUUGUGAAAUUUGAACUCAUGUCACGGUGACAUAAAAAGAGCAAUACAGGGAGCACAUAGUUGUCUGCGUAUCCAAUGGCGACGGAACCAGAAACUUCCUCACCGGAAAAUCCAAUCUUCUCGCCGACCGAUUCCUCACCGGAAAAGCCAAUCUUCUCGCCCACCGACUCCUUCAGCCACAGCACCGAAACCCUAGAUCAACCUCCGACGCCGUGGAUCGACUACGCGAUUGCGCAGGCUCGGGUUUACCAGAAGAACAUCGAAGAGACCCUAAACUCCGCCCUCGAAGCUUCUCGAUCACGCCUCUCGCAGUUUCGCGCCACCGGCUCUGCUCAUUUGAGCCAAACCAUUGUAAGAACUAAGAAUACAGAUUCCCUCAAUUUUUUUUUUUCUAUUUUUAACUGUUUAAUUCAUGAGGAAGAUGAAAAGUAAGGACAAUUAGGGUUCUUGAAGCUUGCAAUUCUCCAUUUCAGUGUUACAUAGUUCAAUUUUUCAAUGUUAAUUCUACUACUUUCCGGAAAAUUGACAAAAUUCAAUGACGAAUGUAGAAUUAUUUACUUGGAUAAAGGGUUAAACUAUAAGCAUGAUUGCUUUAGUAACUAAGUGUGAAUAUUUAUCCCUCAUUUUCUUAAGAAAACUACUCGUCGCGAUGAGUUUUAAGUUAUUUGAGGUCAAUGUCUGAAUGCAGGACUUAGUGGAAGAUGUCAAGACUAACUAUGCUGAUUAUGAGAAUACUUUUCUUGCGAAGAUUAGAGGUUAGUCCCAAUUUCUCAUCUUUCUUUGGGGGAAAAAAGGUUGAGUUGCCGAUGUUGUUUUGUUUAGAUGUUAAAUAAUUUAGAGUUUAUAUCUACACUUUGGUGCAGAGGGUGCUUCUGUUGCGGCUUCACAUCCAUUGAUUACUGGUGGAGUUGCUACUGCUUUGGGGCUUGUGGUUCUAAAAGGUAUGGUUAAAGUCCCUUAACAGAUUCUAACUUGUAGCAGUUCAUAUAUAAUCUAUAUCUCCUGCUUCCCUAUGGAUGUCAUUGAUUAUACAUGAACUCCAAAACCUGCUCAUUUUAAAAAUAUAGGGUUCAGGAUUCCAUCCUCUAUGUGAACUACACUGUAGAUCUUGGGAAAUCCUAAAAUGCAUGGUCAUUACCCAAUUACUCUAAUAUCUGCAGGACCACGACGCUUCUUGUACUACAAAAGCUUGCGACUUUUAAUGAGUGAGGAGGUAAGCACAGAUGCUAUGAAAGUUAUAUUUAUUCAAAUAUCUGUCUUAUAUUCAUUCACGAAGGCAGUCAUACUGGGUUGGUGAAAGCCUUUUUUUCUCCUGAACUUGUUGGAAUUAUUCGCUAUAAGAUAUUGGCUACAGUUGAAAAGAUUUAUCAAUAAAAUUUCUAUUCAUCCCUGUUGCAUUGAUAGCAUAACCAUUAACCUGCCUCCAAGUGGACGUUAUAUUUGGUGCAUUGUCUAGCUGGUAAUAGUAACAAAAAAAAUGGGUGUACUAAUUAUUAAAAUUUGAAUGGUUCAUAUAACUAUCAUAAAGAUCCAAAAGUCCAGCUAAUCCUCAUAUGAGUAUGUAUUCAUUGAUGACUUCUACUGUUGUUGGCAGCAAUAUCAUCAUUCUUACAUCCUAGUAAAACAAAUUGAUUUGUACAUCUAAUUCUAGUGGGAAAACAGAACAAGAAAAAUGAUGCGGGACAUAAUCUCAAACAUGAAAGCUAUUAUCCAUUAGGUUGAUACUAUCAGCUGCAUUUAGAUGCACUGAAGAAUGGGCAUUUCUUUGAUGAACUAGUUUCCUAGGACUUAAUUAUGAUUACUCAUCUACACUUUUUUCCGAUUGUUUUAGAUUGGAAGACAGUUACCGUUUAGGGGUUAUGCAUUGAUUAGGUUGGUUUGGGCAGUUCAGGUUUUGUGUUUGCUAUCUCUCCAUUCUGUAGUUUCAAAAUUGAUUAGGCCGGUUUAGUGGCAGUUGAGGUUUUGUGUUUCCUAUCUCUCUGCAUUUUGUAGUGUAUUCUUCGACUCUUUGUUGUUUCAUGCUUUAUCAUUUCAUCAACUAAAGCUGUUACUUUUCAAAUCAUCUUUGAAAAGCAUGAUGUUAAUGCAUUCAAAAUGGGUGAGGACAUGUUUCCUAACAUUACUUAGAUGUGUCAAAAGUAAGUCGACCUUAAACUAGUCAGCUCAAUGCAACUUGACUUGAUUAGUUAUUGUCUUAUUCGGGUCAACCUGAUUUUCUCUCUCUCUCUCNNNNNNNNNNNNNNNNNNNNCUCUCUCUCUCUCUCUCUCUCUCUCUCUCUCUCUCUCUCUCUCUCUCUCUCUCUCUCUCUCUCUCUCUCUCUCAAGAAAAGCAUAACUCCCCAAUUUAAUUUUAUAUUUAAGUAGUGUUGGAGCUCCUGAAGAAUGCUAUCCCUGAAUGAAAUGGAAGUCUAUUACAGUUUACUGUUAAACAAAGCUAUAAGAAUUAAACGACUAUAAAAAAACAAUGUUGUGGCAUUCUUUAUUGUCAACAUGUUGAACCUUCUUCCUUAAGGGUUUGGGGUUAAAAAAAUGGAAAAGGUUAUGUAGAAUAGAUAGUUCUAAAGACGAUCAUUUGUCAUCCAAGUUUUAAACUUUGUGGCUACAGUUUCAACGAGAAUCAAUGAAUUCAUGUACCAUGAUACUUACUAAAUUUAACAUGCAAUGCUUUUGCGAUAUAUAUUAAAUACAUUGAUGAUAUGCGUCGUGUAUAUGAUUUUUUUUUGGAUGUUGUUGUCAGCAAUUGAGAUGUAGUACAACUGAAUCUUAUUUGCUUGAUAUUCUUAGAUGUGAUUGUGUAUGCAUUUUAUUUAUGUAUUACGGUGCAUCUUGUAGCCAGUAGAUCCUGCACGGUUAUGUGUUUAACUGGUCAUUUGUUUUUGGGUGCAGUCCUUACUUAACAGAGCUCAUAUUGAAGUGAAGGAGUUGCGACAUGCAAUUGACGUUCUAAAGGCUGAAAGUCAAAAAUUAGAGGUACUCUCUCUCUCUCNNNNNNNNNNNNNNNNNNNNGUAAGUACUCUCUCUCUCUCUCUCUCUCUCUCUCUCUCUCUCUCUCUCUCACACACACACACACACACAUUUUCAAUCUUGAUUGAUGAUCAUGACCAAAUAGUUUUAGCUUUACUCUGAUUCAUGGAGGCAGUAUCUUUACUGAAAAAAAAAUGAAUUGAAAUUUGCACUUCUCAUUUUACAAUCCACACUCCUGAUUUCCUCUUUUAGUAAGUCAAGUUUUGUUAUUAUUAACAUGUGUUUUGUCUCUUUAUAAGAGUUUUAAUACAAAAAAAAAAGGAAAAAAGGAGUGUGGAUUGUACAAUUAGGAGUGCUACUUUUUGUUCCCAAAACACAGCUAAUUGGAAAAACAACAAGUACAUUGACAUGGACAAAUCCCAGAUUGUUUUGUAUAGGGUUUAGGUUUAUGGUGGGCUUAAAAUAAUAGGAAUUUCAACUAGUAACUGCAGGAUAUUUUAGAAUUCAAAGAAGCCGUUGAAUUUCUGUAUACUUAGAGAACUUAUGAAAAUAGAGAGUCAGGGGAGAAAAGGAUGAGGUCGGGAUUGGAGAUAAUGAGAAUCACUCCUUGAAUAAAUACCAAACUCAUAUUUAAACCAUUCUUUGGAGGUACAGGGUCUUAGAGUAUAGACAUAAAUUUAUAUACGAGUUUAUGAGUAUGGUCUUGAAGUAUACCAAACUCAUAUAUUUAAACUCAUAUGUCGAAGAAUUGUCGGAUAAAUUUAUGUACUCAUCUUAUCUAGGGCUUCUAUCUCAGAGGCUUUUAGCAGGUGGUCUUUCUUUUACACAAUUGGAUUGGAAGGCUUCUUAGAAGCUUCCUAGUUCUAAGCUUGGGGUCCUUUGCACUGUGUUGUUAUUAUACAUUUUCUUUUUAAGAGUGAACAACUGCUGCUUGUAUUCUUUUUUUGGGUCCUGUUUCAAUUUGCCCUGUAUUCUAAACAGCCUCACCAGUUCGUGAUGAAUACGACAUAGAAUAAACAAUAACAUUCUUAUUUCCAAAAAAAAAAAAAAUAGAUGUGUUGCUAUUCUUUAGUAUGGAACUUUGGAAAUGUAUGGUUGUCACCGGCUGAAUGGGGCAUCAAAAUACAAAUUCUGAGGGGCCAAAAUUUUAUGUGUACAGUUUUUCACUAUAUUAUUUUUUAUGUUUACUUAUGCUGGUGAUCUCUUGCCAUCAAUCGAACCGGGGGUAGUGCAGAGUUGCCUACUAUGAUGAUGUUUUAAAGCCUGCUUAGUUGACCAUGUUUAAAAUGACCAAGCACUCCUAAGUAUCCAACUCAUGGUAUAUUUACUAUUUUCAGAUCAGAGCAGCAAAUGCCGAAAAUGAAUUCAUACAGGGGAGGAAAAAACUCAGGUAUGCUCUUAUAAAAGGUUGCAGUUUAUAAUUCACUAUACUUUCUUUUGCAUUUACCUUCUAUGUUCAAAAUGACAGAUACGCCGGGCAACAAAUCCAAAGUGCGAUUGGAACCGGAUAUAAGAUCGAAAGACAAGCAAGGGGUAUGCAAAUACAUGAACUCUUUUGUUGACAUUAAUCAAUUAAGACUGGAGUUGCUCAUGCGUUGUUAUUAAUUAUAUCAGGUUUAAAAGAUAUUAUAAGAGAACUUCCUAGAAGAGAAGCAUCUCUGUUCCGUGAUCGAGUAAGUUCUUUCUUCCGUAGAAAUCCAAAGAUACAAAGCACAUGAACUCAUGCACUAGUAAAAAUGACCUUAUUCAACUUUGAAAGUUCACUAGCAAUAGAGGCAGAAACAAGAAGAAAAAAGUAUCCCAAUUUUCUUCUGAUGCACUGACUUGUAAUUGACAUGUUUUGCUUCUGGCUUGCAGGUUACAAAUUUGGUUGAUGAGGCGAAGCAAGAAAGGAAAGCCUUGUCAAAGGAGGUCAGAAAAAUUAGCAAUUAUGGGAUCUCAGUCUGAAAAUUCUUUGAAACAUUUCCUCAUUUAGAAAAAGAUAAACCUGAACCAAGUAUCAAUAAUUGAACCAAAUUCAGUACUUGGAAAAUUUUGUUCAUAGGUUUUGUCGAAAGCAAGUUCACUUAAGAACAGAGUUCUCGGUCUGAUUAUUCACUCCUGACAGGAGAUAGACCUUACAGUGAAUGAGUUCUGUGAUAUGUUCCCGCCUGUGGUCAUUAGCUGCAGAAUUCCUUACCGUUGCUCAAUAUUCUCAUUUAUACUUUUGACUGGUGAUUAUCUCCCUACUAUUACUAAAUUACUUUCAGAAAGUAUACUUUGUCUACUGUUACCAAAUCGCUUUCAGGAAGUAUAAUCCUUACUUUUAGAAAGCCUUGUUAGUCCUUCAAACGUCAUUAUCACUGCUGCAUCCUAUAUCAAAAUCCGAAUACAAUCAAGUUGGGGUUCUUGGAUAUGCACAUUCCAUAUGUUUUUCCACAAUUUUUGAUUGCCUGGUUUACCGAAUGAUGACAUUGCUUGGUUUGUCGAUUAGUUCUGUAAAAACCUAAAAAGAGUUGCCCGAGUCCAAAGAGUUCAAACCAUGAAGAACCUGUCAAUUGAUGUAACAGUUGCUCAAGAUGACCCAUUUUGAAGCAACUUCGCCACAAAAAAAAAUGGAAGAUUUUCAAACGGAAAUGGAAAAAAUUGUAGGAUGGUGAUCCAUUAUAAAUUUAUACCGAUACUGAGAAGACCGUCGGAACUUUCCAAGCCUUCCCGUCAACUGAGGCAUUGAGGUGAAGCGAUAGUCCAUGCCAAGUGGAAAGCAUGCAGACUAAGGAUGAAGAAACAGGUAACUACCUGUUAUCGAUAUUCUCUGUGAAACCUCCGGGAAUUGCAGGUGCCAGAAAUUAAAAAAAAGAAAAAAAGAAAAAAAAAAGAAGAAGAAGAAGACCAAGCUGGGGAAGCAACGGGCACAAUCUUAAGGUUCUCUUUCAGUGAAACAAAGGAUUUAAGAAUAGCCCAUAAAUUUGUUGUGAUUCAUAUGAUAGGUAACAUGAUUUGCUCAGUUUUCUCAAGCAUGCUUCUUUGUUGGCUUGUUGCCGUUUCUCUUCAUUUUCACUGUUCUUCUCACUCUGUCUACCAAUCUACGAGGUUUAUUUGAUACAUUAAACCCUUGUCGAAUCAAGUUCUGGUCUGGCUAUUGGGAAGAUGCAUAGUUCUUAGAUCAUGACAUCCUCACAACAUGAUCAAGUUCUGGUCUGAUAAAAUGGAGGUGUUGCGAUAUGACAUCCUCUGAUCAUGUUGUUCUACCAGUAUUCUACAAUAUUGAUCCAUCCGAUGUGAGGAAACAAAAUGGAGGUGUUGCGAUAGCACUUGCUAGACAUGGAAAAAUAUCAUCGCCGGAGAAGUUGCAAGGGUAGAGGACAGCACUAAAUCAUGGUAUGCUGAUCAAAGUGAUGGGUAUGUAACUCUCUUACAGUUUCUCUUUAAUUUUCUUUCGUGGCCAAUUAAUUCUAUUACACCUAAAAAGUCCAUUUUUAUCAACCUUUCAUUGUACCAUGUUAGUAUUUCCACAUAAGGUUUUAUAAUCAAAUAUCCUGAAGCGUAGCCAUAGUAUGUUUAUUUAAAUUCAGUUCCAUAGCAAUUUCUAGGCACGAGUAAAAGUUUAAUCAAGAAAAUUGUUGAUGAGAUUGAGAUGAAAUUAUGUCGCAUACCCUAAAGUGUUGACCCCAAUCUGGUUGGAAUCCAACCAUUGUUACAAGAUGGAUCAUCUGAUGUUGGCUUGGCAUUUAUGGAAUUGGUGGAAUAGGAAAGACAACUAUUGCGCGUGUUGUAUAUAAUUCAAGUUUUAAAGGAUUUGAAGGAAGCAGUUUCCUUGAAAAUAUUAGUGAAACUUCUGAACAAUACAAUGGCAGAAUGUCUUAGUUAGAAUAAAAAAUCAGCUUCUUUUAUGAUCUUUCAAAUCGAAGAGAAGUGAAAAUACACAUGGUUGCUGAGGGAAUAAAUCGGAUCAAAGAUGUCAUAGGCUCUAAGAAAGUCCUUCUUGUUCUGGAGGAUAUGUGGAUCACAGGGAUCAAUUACAACGUACAAUAUUUAGCAUGCGGAAUCGCUUUUUUUCAGGAAGUAAAAUCAUUAUAACAUGAAGGAACAAGGAUAGUUGGCAAUCUUUCUGUCACAACAAAACACCUAAAGAGUUGUGUCUAUUGUCAAGGAACAAGCUCGAAGUCAAUAAUAUCUCUCAUGGUCUCAGGUAUUUCAUGCAUUGGCAUAUCAUCUGUUUUACACACUUGCUAUCCUGGUCUCUGAGUCCUCAUGUUGUCUCUAAUUUCAGAAGUUUUUAUUAUUACAUUUUAGUAAGUUCUUUAGUGUUUCAAAUUAGAAUUUUGACAACUGAGAUUGUGCAAUUGUCUUGGCGCUCAAACCAGUUUAGGGUUGAGAUCUUUUGCUAUGUCAACCCGUGACCAAAUGGUUUGUUGUCUAAGGCUCCAGCUUGGUUCUUAUGAUACAUAGAACAAUGUAAAGCUGGACCAGGUUUGAUUCAAUGACCAGUCGUUGUUGAUUGAGUCAUGGUCCACUAAUGGACUGAGUUAGAGGUUCUAUGACCUUAUUGCUCCUUGUUUUGAAUCGAACUUGUUUUAGGAAAAGUAUUUUUGUCUCAUUGAGUUGGCUUAUGUCAACUCUCCUUUUGGUUACAUCACUUUCAGUAUUAUAGCCAAAUACUUGUGUCCAAAACAUUUUCUGAAACUACUUGAUAGAUGAGCUUGCAUCAUCUCUUUGAUGUCUCAUCUGCCUAUAUAUAUAUAUAUAUAUAUAUAUAUANNNNNNNNNNNNNNNNNNNNGCUUUACGUUUUCUUAUUGAGUCUGGUCUUUAGCUUGCAUGUCCAUGCUGCUUUAAGUCUUCCUUGUGAUUAUAGACCUUAGAGCUUGGACGAAAAAUCUUAUCAUAAACUCAUUGCAUCAUCGCAUACCAUGAGAGAUGUUGGUAGUUUAAUCAACCCAAGAAGUGUUCAAAGUUGAGUCACCUACUCUGUAGUUGGUUUCAAGAACAAGACUUCUCAAAGAACUUUCAAUUGUUGCUGCUUAGAAACAAGUAGUAUAGGUCUAGACUAGUAUUCAGGGUAGGUAGGAUAGUAGUGAGCUGUUGUAUCCCUAGAGCAACUAUUUUGUAAGAAGUGGUUUACAUAAUGGAAAGUUUUGUCAUUCAAGAGUUAGGGACACGCAGUUUUUCUCCCUGAGUGGUCAGGGUUUCUGCGAGUAAAAAACAUAUUUGUGUUCAUUAUUUCUCUUGUUGUUCCUUACUUCUUUCAACUCACAUCAUGUUAACAUGGGAUAGCACAAGUCAUUGCUAUCCUCAGUUGCACAGUUAUAGAAAAUCUGAAAAAGGCCUAUUAACAAUGGACUGAGUCAUGGUCCACUAAUGGACUGAGUGAGAGGUUCUAUGACCUUAUUGCUCCUUGUUUUGAAUCGAACUUGUUUUAGGAAAGGUAUCUUUGUCUCAUUGAGUUGGCUUAUGUCAACUCUCCUUUUGGUUACAUCACUUUCAGUAUUAUAGCCAAAUACUUGUGUACAAAACAUGUUAUGAAACUACUUGAUAGAUGAGCUUGCAUCAUCUCUUUGAUGUCUCAUCUGCCUAUAUAUAUAUAUAUAUAUAUAUAUAUAUAUAUAUAUAUAUAUAUNNNNNNNNNNNNNNNNNNNNNGAAAACAGUAGCUUUACGUUUUCUUAUUGAGUCUGGUCUUUAGCUUGCAUGUCUAUGCUGCUUUAAGUCUUCCUUGUGAUUAUAGACUUUAGAGCUUGGACGAAAAAUCUUAUCAUGAACUCAUUGCAUCAUCGCAUACCAUGAGAGAUGUUGGUAGUUUAAUCAACCCAAGAAGUGUUCAAAGUUGAGUCACCUACUCUGUAGUUGGUUUCAAGAACAAGACUUCUCAAAGAACUUUCAAUUGUUGCUGCUUAGAAACAAGUAGUAUAGGUCUAGACUAGUAUUCAGAGUAGGUAGGAUAGUAGUGAGCUGUUGUAUCCCUAGAGCAACUAUUUUGUAAGAAGUGAUUUACAUAAUGAAAAGUUUUGUCAUUCAAGAGUUAGGGACACGCAGUUUUUCUCCCUGAGUGGUCAGGGUUUCUACGAGUAAAAAACAUAUCUGUGUUCAUUAUUUCUCUUGUUGUUCCUUGCUUCUUUCAACUCACAUCAUGUUAACGUCGGAUAGCACAAGUCAUUACUAUCCUCGGUCGAAGAUCCCCCACCCCCGGUUAUAACAACUAGACGUUGCUAAAGCUUUAUAAAGAUGUCAAGGAGUGUUGCAUUCAAAUUCAAACUUCCAAGACAGUGGUGGAUCAUUGGAACUCUUCUGUUGGCAUGCUUUCCGACAGAACCGUCCGAUUGAAGGUUACUUUGAACUUUCAAAAAGGUUUGUACACCACACCGGAGGACUUCCGUUUUUUUACACGAAGAGCCUUGCAAUCACUCAGUCCUGAGAAUGAUUUAACUUAGAAAUAAGUUGCUAAAGCAUAAACAUUUUCCUUUUUUUUUUGGUAGAAUGGUUCGUAAGCAAAUUCUUUGAAAUCGGAAGUUAAACAAAACAAAUUAUUGAGUAGAAGACUGGGUUCCAUGAAUAACCCCAAACAGGGCAGUAAGAUGAAGAGAAGGCCGUCGUGUCCACCAGCCGGCGGCAAAAACGUGCCUUUGUACGAUUGUCAUGCAGAUUUGUUCACCAGCCAUCUGUUGCAGAAUCCGCAUGUUAUUGAAACGAAAGAAAGAUUAGGCCAUCAGGUAGUUAUAAUUCCUUCGAUUGAUCAAGAUUGUUUUAUAUCUAAACAUCAUGAUAUGCUGAUCAGUUUUCUCAUGCAUGCUUUUUUGUAACCUUUGCUCUUCAAUCUCACUGCUCUUAUGAUUCUGGGUAGCGGCCUAUUAGGUUGCUUUGGUUUACAUCUAACUCUAAAUUGAAUAAACUUCUGCUUGCUGAUUAGCUCUGGAGUUUAAUUUUCUUUUCUCUAUCUGUUCAUUUUUGUUGACCAUUGCAUCUAUUAUAUAUUAUAAUGAAUUGAGAUGUUCAGAAGUUAAGCACUUAAGACCAUCAAUUCUUAGUUUUUGGAAUUCUGAAGCAAUUGAAAUGAUCAAAGCUUCUGAAAUUGACUUCUGAAUUUAUACUGAUUUAUUUAAGUUUAGGCCUUUGAUGCUCGUAUUACAUAGUUGCUUUCUAUUAUUGUAUAUUAUGAUACAAGAAAAGUCUCUUUUCUUCUGCUUGACUGGAUCAAAGAAUGCAAUAUAUGUAUGCAAACUGAUAGGAACCCAAAUUCCCAAAUCCUUCAAUUUCCACUUAGUUGAAACCCAGCGAGUUGAUGUAUUCAUUCACUGAUACAUGGCACCUGUUAAAAUUCAAGAACCUGGCUCUUCCAUUGCGUCUCGUUUACCAUGUAGUUAUCAUGUGUUCUUAAGUUACAGAGGCCAAGAUACUCGUAAGACUUUCACUGAUCAUCUCUAUACAGCUCUGGUCAAUGCUGGAAUUCGCACUUUCAGAGAUGAUAAUGAACUGGAAAGAGGCCAUGAUAUCAAGCCGGAGCUAGAGAAAGCCAUCCAACUGUCACGUGGUUCUGUCAUUGUGUUUUCGAAGGACUAUGCAUCUUCUGGAUGGUGCCUGGACGAGCUUGUCAUGAUCCUUGAACAAAAGAGGACCUCUGAUCAUGUUGUUUUACCAGUAUUCUAUGAUAUUGAUCCAACCCAUGUGAGGAAACAGACUGGAAGUGUUGCAAAAGCACUUGCUAGACAUGGAAAAAAGCAAUCGCCGGAGAAGAUGCAUAGGUGGAGGAAAGCUCUUAAAGAAGUUGCAGAUCUAGCAGGCAUGGUGCUACAAAAUCAAAAUGAUGGGUAUGUAACUCUAUUACAGUUUCUCUUUUCUUUUCUUUCGUGGCCAAUUCAUUCAUUAUACCAUGUUAUUUAUUUCCACAUAAGACUUUAUAAUCAAAUAUCCUGAAGUGUAGCCAUAGCCUGUUUGAUUGAAUUCAGUUUCAUUGCAAUUUCUAGGCACGAGUCAAAAUUUAUCAAGAAAAUUGUUGAUAUGCUUGUGGAGAAAUUAUGUCGCAUACCCUUAGGUGUUGACCCCCAUCUGGUUGGAAUCCAAUAUUGGGUUGAAAGCAUUAAUUCAUGGUUGCAAGAUGGAUCGUCUGAUGUUGGGAUACUUGGCAUUUAUGGAAUUGGUGGAAUAGGAAAAACAACUAUUGCACGAGUUGUAUAUAAUUCAAGUUUUAAAAAAUUUGAAGGAAGCAGUUUCCUUGAAAAUAUUAGAGAAACUUCUGAACAAUACAAUGGCUUAGUUAGAAUACAAAAACAGCUUCUUUAUGAUCUUUCAAACCGAAGAGAAGUGAAAAUACACAUGGUUGCUGAGGGGAUAAAUCGGAUCAAAGAUGUCAUAGGCUCUAAGAAAGUCCUUCUUGUUCUGGAUGAUGUAGAUCAUAGGGAUCAAUUACAAGCAAUAUUUAGCAUGCGGAAUUGCUUCUUUCCAGGAAGAAAAAUCAUUAUAACAACUAGACGUCCAGGGUUGCUAAAGCUUUAUAAAGAUGUCAAGGAGUGUUGCAUUCAAACUUUAGACAGUGGUGGAUCAUUUGAACUCUUCUGUUGGCAUGCUUUUGGACAGAACCAUCCAAUUGAAGGUUAUUUUGAACUUUCAAAAAGGAUCGUACAGCACAUAGGAGGACUUCCGUUGGCUCUGAAAAUUUUGGGUUCCUCUCUGACAGGGCAAAGUCUAGCUGUAUGGGUGAGUCAACUACAGAAAUUGGAUACUACUCCAGACACUGAAAUCCUAAAGAAGUUGAGGAUAAGCUACGAUGCCUUACAAGAUGACCACGACAAAGAUAUAUUUCUCCACAUUGCAUGUUUCUUUAUUGGAAAGGAUAAGGAUGUGAUCAUCAAGAUACUAGACGGAUGUGGGUUCUAUUCACUUGUUGGCAUUCAAAAUCUCAUUGAUAGAUGUUUGAUAACUAUAGAUACAUCCAAUAAGGUGAAAAUGCCUCAAAUGAUUCGUGACAUGGGAAGAGAUAUUGUUCGCCAAGAAAAUGCAAAGAAUCCAGAUAAACGUAGUAGAUUAUGGCACCACAAAGAUUCUCUCAAUGUAUUGAGAGCAAACAAGGUAACAAGCAUGCUCCUCUUAUCCUCUUAUGUAUAUUUAUCCUUUUUUUGUCUCCUUUUUCUUUGUGGAGGUGGGGUGGUGGAUUACUGCUGUUUACUAAUCCAAAUGCUUUCUUUUUGUUUAGCAGGGUUCUGAAACAAUUGAAGGUCUUUCCCUGCAAAUGCAUAUGUACACUGCAGACAACGCUCCAAGAAUUUCGAAUAUGGAAGUCUUAGAAACCGAUGCAUUUACAAGGAUGCACAAACUACAAAUACUCCAACUUUUUGAUGUCCAACUGAAUGGAAGUUAUGAGGACUUUCCUAAAGAAUUGAGAUGGUUGUGUUGGCUUCAAUUCCCUUUACACUCCAUACCUAGUGAUUUUAUUUUAAAGAGACUAGUUGUUCUUGAAAUGCAGAAUAGCAGCCUGAGACGAGUCUGGAAAGGAACAAAGGUACUUAACUGCGUAAUUUUCCUUUCUUUCUUUUUUUUCUCUUAUAAAUGAUCUGUAUUGCAGUUGUGGAAUAUAGAAUAAACUCCCACUUUGUUUGCCUAACUAUUUUUACUUUUUUCUUCUUCUUUUUUCACAGCAUCUUCCAUCACUGAAGAUCCUUGAUCUCAGCCAUUCCAGUGACCUGACAGAAACUGGCGACUUCUUAUUGGUCCCAAAUCUAGAGAGACUGUUUCUUGAAGAUUGUAGGAGUUUGAUUGAUGUCGACAAAUCCAUUGGGAAGCUAGAGAAGCUUGUUUACUUGAAUAUGAAAAACUGCACAAAGAUUGGGAAGCUUCCAGAGGACAUUUACUCUCUGAAAUCACUAGAAACAUUUAUUUUGUCUGGUUGCUCAAAUCUAUACGAGUUUCCCAUGGAAAUGAGGAAUAUGGCUUCUCUGAAAGUUCUUGAAGCAGAUGAAAUUCCUAUUAAUCGUUUACUUGCCACCACUGAGGAUCAGGUCAAGUCUUGGCCAAUGUUAAAACAUAUAGAUAACUUCUGGGCUUCUUUUCCCAGCAGUUUGCUUGAAUUAAGUCUAGCAAACUGCAAUCUCUCUGAUGAUGCUUUUCCUAUGGAGUUGAGUAACUUAUCAUCAUUGAAGAGACUCUAUUUCACUGGGAAUCCAAUUUGCAGUUUACCAGAUUGCAUCAGAGGGCUUGAAGAGCUAGAUUACCUUGGAUUUUCGGGGUGUACAAGUCUCAAGGGCCUUGAAGGGCUACCAAGAGUAAGCAGAGAACUGCUCACAGUCGGUUGUAUAUCAUUGGAAAGGAUUACUUUUCAAUCAAUAUGGUGCUUACCAAAGUCUAUAGUUACACUUGGUACAAAAUCCAAAAUAGUUGAGAUUGGUUACUGGUUCAAGCUAGUGCCCAUUGAAAGAGUUGGCAUGGAGAUGAUCAACAUUUUGGGCUUGUCCAACUUGCGAUCCAUGGAACCUGUUUUGAUGUCCAUCCCAGAAUGGCAUUCUUCAAAUUACAAAAUGCUUCCUGUUCAGGUGCUCUCUUUCUCUAUACAUAUAUUCUUGAUGAUGAAACUUGUUCAUGAAGAAAUGAUAGACUUCUUUAAUUAGUACAUUGAGUCUUAACAUCUCUCUCUCUCUCUCUUAGUCUCCUUCAUUUUUUAUCUUACCUAAUAUAUUCCAGUAUUAACAUUUGUGUAGGGAUUGUAUGAGUAUGGUAUAUUCAGUACAUUUUUUCAUGGAAACAAAAACGAAGUUCCAGGUCAGUUCAGCCACAGAAUGGAAGGAUCAUCCUCUACCAUAUCUUCUACAGUGCAUAUACCUUUACUUCCUAAUCUCAAGAUCAGAGGCUUGAACAUUUUCACCGUCUAUACAAACUCACGUAACUAUUCACUUGCUGGUGCAUUAGUUACCGAGAUCAACAACAAAAGCAAGGGAUUGAAGUGGGUUUAUCAGCCAUCAUGCUACGGAAUACCAAAUGAUGAUGAAGACAUGAUAUGGCUAAGCCACUGGAAAUUGGGGAAUCAGUUGGAAGCUGGCGAUGAAGUGACUGUUUCAGUCGUUAUGGGAGCCAGAUACAAUUUGUUUAAGGUAAAAGAAUGGGGAUUCCACAUUGUGCAGGAGUCAGAAGACAUUUUGAGGAUCACUAGCCAACCCACCACCACAUCUACAGAUUUUUCUGAUCCGGGUGUCAGCGAUACUGUGCAUGAAGCAGAAGAAGAGAUAAUGAUCAGUAACCAACCAAGCAGAAGUACGGAUUUGUCUUACGCAUGUGUUAAUGAGGUUGUUGGUCUGUCAGAAGCAUAUCAAGUGGAACCGGGAACAUACUGGUUCUGUGGUGGACCGAUGGAAGUCAACAGAGAACUAUUUCUUUGUUGGAGUUCUUUGUCCAAAAUGCAGGAACAUAGUUACUCUACAGUCGUCAUUGGUUUGUUUAAGAUCAUUCUGUUAGAGGCGAGAGAAACAGCGAGGGAGAGCAGUAUCAUUAACAACUGCGUUGUCGUCACUAGGGCCGCUAUCAGCUUUCUUCUUCCAUUUCUGUGUUUAUCAAUUUUUACAAGUAUUUUCCUUUUAUCAGUUUACAUGUUCUCUUAGGAUCAUGAAGCUCAAAUCAUUUAGUCUUGGGACUGAAGAGCGGUGAUAGAGCAGUGAGUGGUUGAUGUUUAGUUGUAUUCAGGAGGCUUUAUAUGGUGAAAAUGAUUGUGAUUCCUAUUCAGAGGCUAUGGUCAUUAUCCAUGCGCGUCAAUAUGUUGAAAUAGUGGAUAGCAGGCAGGUUAUUGUGAUUGUAUCUGAUCUUUCAUUCUCUUUUGAUGGAUAAUGACUUAAAAUGUGUUAAGACAUAAGACUUGAUUGUAGAGGAUUGUUUUUUUACCUUGAUUAUAGACGAUUGUUAAGCAGCAGCUACAACAGUCGCCGGAGAGGAAGCGGACGGCAUUAGUGACAGCAAAAAGAGGCCAACACCAUCUUCACUAUAACAGCCAAAUGGACCAAGAGUAAGGCAAGGGUAGGAAGUUCAACGGUGUCACCGUCCUAUCGGCUCUAUCGGAGACUUCCUCGUUCUUAGCGAAGACAAUGAUCACUUCAUCCACAUAUAGUCUUAUGUGUAAAGGUGGUGAAUGAGUUUUAAAUCACUCCUCAUUCUGAUUUUUACCCUUGUUCUCCAAGAAACCAAUAACCUAUUGAACCAAAAAAAAAAAAACCAAUAACCUAUUGACCAAAAAAAAAGAAACCAAUAACCUUGACAUUUGUUGUGGGCUAUGCCUUUAUACUUCUAUAGUACACGACCCAAAUUCCGUAUGACAUGGAAAUAACAAUUGGGGAAUAAAAGGCAUUUUCAUAUUGAUCAAUUACAUCAUUACUCUCAUCCCUUCCAUUGAAUCCCCGACUUCCCUCCCCAAUUCAAUACAAGUUUUUAUUUUUGGUGAGAAGCUCAAUUGCCUCCAUCUUUGCUCCAUUGAUCGAUGCCCAAAACAAGUCAAAAGCUUUCAUCCAUCUCCUCUAAAAAUCUUAUCACUCUUAGCAAAUACAAUGUGCAUUUUUCUAAAGUAAAAACAAUGAUCUUUUAUCAUCACUCAUACUGUAAUACGUAAUACAGUAGGAGUGAUGAUAAAAGAUGUAAUACAUAUUUAAACAUGUGACAUCUACGGUAAUACGUAUAAAGCUACUUCUUUAACUAAAAGACUAAAAGAAGAAAAAAGAAGAAAAAUUAGAGAAUAAUCAGAAUAUAGUGUCAGCCUCAUCUGCUGCUUUAUCACGUGCGAUUCCACCCCCAUCACGCCCGCUCUGGUUUUCAAUUUAUUAAAAAGGAGCACAUUGGUAGUUGAAAAUCUGAACCCCAUUAAAUUCCCCCCACCGGCCCAUCCCACAUUCAUUUAUUAUUUUCCAGAAUUCCAUCGAUUUAUACGCAAAAAUUAAAAAGAGUAAAUAAAUAAAAACUCGAAAAUAAAUUUAAAUUUAUAACCUUUCGAGAAAUUUUGAUAAAAUAACCACAAAGGUAUCGCAAAAAACAUUACUAUCCCAAUCUCACAUUUCACCACAGGCCGACACGUCAGGACACCCGAAACGCGUUCGGGUGAAGAUAGAAUCGCCUCUGCUGCUCCUCCUCCUCCGCUUGCUGCUGCUGCUGCGACGACGACGACACCUCCUUCUGCCGACGAAGCUCCAUCACCUUCCGGUGCGAGUUAGAAUGCUGAGUCAGCACGAACGUCGGGCUUGCCGCGGGCCGAUACUCGGGCACGAGCCGACCCGACUUGUAUCGAACCCCACAGGCAUUGCACAGCGUCUUCGGGCCCAAUGGACCCGUCCUCCACUGCGGCGUCUUCUCCGACGCGCAGUGCGUGCACCGACGAAUCGGCUCCGGGUUUUCCUCACGGCAAACGGGCUUGGUAUUAUGGGGUCGGUUGGGAUUCGAAAACGACUUGUCGUUGGGAAGCGGCAGCUCCGGGGGUGGGAAGUCGGUGAAUGAAUCGUCCACGAACCGCGACAGCCAUUCCAGUUCCGCUACGUCCUCGCUCUGUUCACAAAUAUCAAAUAGUUUAUCAUUGAGAAUGUUGUUAAUGAUAAUGAGAAAUACAUAGAGGAGUAAAGGGGAAUGUGGGGGCGUACCGGGAGGCAGAGGGCGUUGGUGAAGUCGGUGGAGGCGGUGGGGUUGAAGAGACCAGCUGGGGGAGGAGGUGGAGGGAAGUAGUGAGGGUGGGAGUCGGCGGAGGAAGUGGAGGAGGAGUUGGAGAAGAUUUCGUCGUUGGAUAAGUCGAGGAGGUCGUCGAUGGGGAAGUAGUCGACUUGCGGUUGGGCUGAUGAUGAGGAGGAGGGUAGUCCGUACAUGUCCUCCAUUGUUUAUUUUUUCUGAUGAGGAGGGGCACAGAGAAGUGGGUCUCUCUUUCUCUCUGUAAGAGGAGCUCAGAGAGAGAGAGAGAGAAGGAAGGAGGAGGAGGAGAAGAGAGGGGAGUGAUAAAUAUUGAUGGGGAAGGGGAGCAGAGGAACGUGGAGAGAGAGAGAGAGAGAGAGANNNNNNNNNNNNNNNNNNNNGAGGGAGGCUUGCUCUGCACUGCUACUGAAACACACUAGUGCUGCUACUGCUACAGUCCAAGAAGGGGGAGCAUGGAUAAUAUAUAUUUUUUUCUUCGUUUUUUUUUUGUUUAGUUUACUAUGGGUGAUAUGGGAACGGUCGGGUUCAUGGAUUGUUUUAUGCAACCGGGGACACCUGGCUACUCACUCUAGCGCAGUAAACUAGAACAGAACUCUUGAGAAAUUUUUUUUGGAUGGUUAUGAGCCUAGGACACUAGCUUGGUAUUGGGUUGAGGACUUCGAGUUUGAGUUACCUCCUUAUGUAUGUGUAAAGAGGAGUGUUUAUAUAGGGAGUGAUUUGAAGGGUCUUUGUAACAAUCCUAAUUCCUAAACGUAAUAUUAUUGAUUGAAUCAUUGAAAAUCUAUGGAGGUUAAGUAAACUUAUUAGGAUUAGGUUGCUUGUUUCCUUAUUUCUUAUAUGGUGAGGUUUCUGGAUCCUUCCCGUGUAAGACUAGCCCAAAUUAUGCACAACGGAACCUUGUUUCAGUCGUAUUCUUAUGAGGCUCCAUACGUAUUAGCCCGAAAUAAUCAAACAGUUUGUGUUAGGAAUGUGAAAUUUGUCAAAAACUCAAUCUUUCUUAAACAGUUUUAAUCGUCACUCGUAUCAACAUUAACGUUACAUAUUGAAAAAUAUACUAAAUUGCGCCUGUAAAAUUAUACCAGUUGAUGACUUAUCGGACCACAGAACUAAUUCUAUGUGUUGGAAAGAUGAAAUUGAAAACUGAUCAUGAAGAGCAUCUGAUCGAGGAUUGAAGGGC